rnacentral:lncRNA from 1 species
CGUUGUCCAGGUCAGCAGCCUACGUGGCCGAAAAUUUGAGCGCGGACGAGAUUUGGACCAAGCGUGAUAUGCGGUGCCAAGUUUAGGUAUGCGCUUUUUCAAUUCGCAAGUUGUAGGACUAAACUGUACAUCGGUGCCAAGUUGUGGGACCCGCCAUGUAAUUUCCUCUUAUUUUAUUUUUCCCGCUCAAACAACCGCCGCCUGGCUCGCGACUCGACUUGAUCCGUUCCGUUCCGUUCCUCGUCGUCUCCUCCUCCGAAGCCGCUCCCACGCCGACGCGGCGACAUGGCCACCGCCGCCUCCUACUUCUCCGGCACGGCCGUCAUGCCGCGUGCGGGGCCCGCCGCCGCCGCCGACUACACCGCCGGCGCAGGCACCCCUCCACCCUCUAAGGUUCGUGACCCUCGCUGCAACCGUACCGCCAUCUUCGUCAAUCCGUCUCCCCCGAACGCUAACUCCGCCAAGUGUCCAUCUCAGUCGCACAACCCCCGCUACUCCGGCUGCGUCCCCGCCACCGUACUCCACAUCGCCCGCUCCUUCGCCGCCGCGGCCGCCGCCGACGACGGCGGCGGCGACCCCGUUUUCUCCAUCGACGGCGUCGAGACCAGCAACGUAAGCCCCUUCGCUCCUCGGAACCUCACUGGCCUUUAUAUCUGCUCGGCUGCGUGUAAUUUUGUGGUACUCUGGAAAUCCCCAACUCGUGCGUGUAGGUUAGGGUUUUGGGGAGGGUUUUAAACAUUGUGAGCAGGGAGACUGACGUGUCAUUCACGCUCGAUGACGGUACUGGGAAGAUCGCCCUCGUGCGGUGGUGAGUUGUGAUUUCAUUCUUCAUAUGAAUCAUAUCUCAAGUUCUCAACUAGAUUCGGUGCUGAUGUGACAAUUCUGUGGUAGGAUCACUGACCAGCUAGAUGCUCGUGACACGGCUUAUAUCCGGUAUGUAAUGUAGAUACUGGAUAUGCACUGAGAUGUGUUCAAUUUUAGCUGUUUUGAAGUGAUUUGAUAUUGUUGUAUGGUCUGGGUUGUGUUUAUGAAGGGAUGGCGUGUACGUCAGGGUUCAUGCAAAUGUCACAGGGUUUCAAGCUAAGCAGCAGGCGUUUAUCCGAUCUAUCAGGUAUGGAAACUGAAUUCCUUUGGUAUUUAUGGCUUAUCUUUGUUAUUUUGUUUUAAGAUUAUGGACUGUUUCAAAGUUCUAUUUGUGGUUAAUACUUGGAUGCUGUUCCUGCAGAUGUUUUUUGAAUAAUGUAUACUAGCAUUUAAAUGGAAUGUUAAUCUUGUUUGUAAUACUUUUAUGGUAGAGGCAUAGUGAACACCAAUUAAGCAACCUUUGAUUGAAAACGUGAGUGAUACUGGACAUAAAGGUUUAUAGCCUGUGUCCCACUUGUCUAUGCAUGAUUUAUUGCACAUCUUCCUGUCCGAGAUUUUCAACUCUCAGAAUAUACCUCUGUGUUGAGUGUGUUCUAACUAGGUGUACUAUACAUAACUUCAGAGAUUGCUUUGUUGGAAAGUACCAUUGUUAAGUUACUAUACUGUUGAUUGUUUGUGGAACAGAAUGAUGUGUUUACCUUCGUUGCACAUAGACUUUGUUACUCUGCUUAAUUUCAGCUGUGCUUUGGCAGCCUUCAUUUAGCAUACUCAUGGAAUCUGAAUCUCACUUCUAAGGUUUGUCAGUUGUGUUAUGUACUGAAUGAUGCAUAUAGUAAUGGCAUAUUGGCAUCCUUAUUCUGUAUUCAGCAGUUCUUCCCAUUUUCUUCCUCCGUGGUAUUACUGAAAUCUAACCGCAUAUCCAAUCACACAACCUGGACACUGGAGUAGUCGAUAUUUACUUUGCGGUCUGUCCUAUAUUUGCAGGUUUAAACCCCUGUGAAGUAACUGUUCUGUAAGCGGCUCAUGGUUUUAGUUUUAGUUUACGAGUAGCUAAGGAAAUUAUAUCUUGUUCAUUUCUUUGCUGGGAGAUAUUAUGCUUCCACCAGUUAUUAUUUAGUAACAACACUAACUUUUGCCUAACUCUAACUCUAUUAAGCUUCGUAUAUUUCCAGGCCGGUUACCAAUUUCAAUGAAGUGGUGCUGCAUUACAUUGAAUGCAUGCAUGUGCACAUGGAAAAUACUCGGAUAAAGGUACAGAAAGAAAAUAUCUCAAUUUUAUGACAGUAUUGUACAGUUAAUUUUGAUAUGAGAAACCAUUAACGACCAUGUCCUUUCCCUUUUAAAGAUGCAAGGGCAACUCCCGCCUGCAGUUCAAACAAACGCAUAUACACAUGAGCCUGGUGGAGUGAGAGAACACCAAGUACAUUUUACUCCUCAAGUACAACAAGGACAACUCCCGCCUGCAGUUCGAACAAACACAUCUACUUAUGUGCCUUAUUCUGGUAGUGUGAGAGAACACCAAGUCCAUUUUACUCCUCAAGUAAACCAAGUGCACCUACCGUCUGCAGUUCGAGCAGACACAUCUACUUAUGUGCCUUUUACUGGUGGCAUGAGAGAAAAUCAAGCUCAUUUCACUCAAGUAAAUCAAGGACAAUUCCUUCCCCCAGUUCAAACAAAUGCAUCUACUCAUGGACCUUUUUCUGGCAGACAGAGAGAACAUCCAGUUCAUUCUGCUCCUCAAGUAAACCAAGUACGGAAUUUUACAAUAAAUUGAGUUCAAUGAAUUGCUUGAUAAAGGAAAAGAGCACAUGUAUAUGAGUUUGUCAGUAUAUUUGAUAUACUUUUGUUAUGUUGAGGUGCUGAUUAUAUACUCUAGCUUCAUGGAAUUGAGAUGUCAAUUACCUGAUCUCUUUUUUAGUUCUUUCUUUAGUGUCUCGGUUUUAUCCACCAACUUGCACCCAGCUGUCCUUAUCUGUAAGCCUAUUCACUGAUCCUGUGAUAUUUAUUUUCUUGCCCAGUUUUCAUCUUACUCAGCCACCAGUGGACAACAGUAUGACCUGCAAAGUAUGGUUUUGGGAGUUCUACAAGCACCUGAUAUUAUGUAAGUUUACUAUCUUUGGUAGAAGUUGUAGAAGGAUGAAUAUCCUCAUUGAGCUCUUAGCUUCUGCUGUAAUGAUUUGCUUAGCUCAGUGUAGGUACGUUCACAUUUUCCAAAUUAUAAUCCUGAUCAAAGGUUACAGAUUGGUUCAAGUCUUUCCUUUGUCACAUUGUAAAUUUUGUUUCAUACUUUUGUUGUCCUGGUAUCUAGAAUCGACCUUUUCAUGGUAACGUGGAUGCUCCAAAAAUAGAAGAAAUGCUUGUUUCCAUUUAAUUGCAUGUUUAAGAACAUUGGUUUUGAUUCAUGUGGUGUUUUUCUACUUUUGCUUGAGCAAAUAACUCGAUUGGUUUGAUAAGGUGAUGCCAAGUUGUGCUACAAUAGACUAGUGCUUCGUAUAUGGCCAAACAAAACAAAUGGUAUUGAGAACAUGUACAUAUCAUGGAAUGGCUGUAAACUCGUAAUAAUAAAAGAGUGCUAACUACAUCUGGGUAUCUAUACAAUCAAAUGAUUUCUUAUGUUCAGCAUUACUAUGCAUUGUGUUCUUCAAAAUAAUUACUAUCUAAUGUGAAGUUGUAGCCAGAUUAUCGAGCUGCACCAUGAAUAUACAUCUUACAUGAUACUCCCUCCGAUCCAUAUUAAUUGUUGAAAUAUUACAUGUAUCUAGACGCUUUUUAGGCAUAAAUACAUCCAUAUUUGGACAAAUUUGAGACAAUUAAUAUAGAUUGGAGGGAGUACCUUUGUUUGAAAUGGUUGUCUAAAAUAAUUCAAGUGAGAGCUUGAGCUGUAACAACUAACGAGUCCUAUUCCUGAAAAGCAUGGUCUGGUCUUGUUUCUUCAAUCUUCGCCAACACUGGCUCUUUGACAUGUUUGCUCUUUUUUAACAACUAAUAGACCUGAAGAUAGGUAAAAUACAUUUAACUCUGCUACUCCCUCCGAUCCAUACUAAUUGUCAAAAUAUUACAUGUAUCUAGACGCUUUUUAGGCAUAGAUACAUCAAUAUUUGGGCAAAUUUGAGACAAUUAAUAUGGAUCGGAGAGAGUAGUAUAUUUUUAGACACUUUUGGUAUUUAUUCUUAGCAUUUUUUUUAUUUCUAAUUUGCUAUAGGUAUGAAAGUUGCUUCAGAUCAGUAUUGAAUUGAAAAAAGUUCAUUUAGGCUGAUUAUUGCUUUCCACAGAUCCCUUGAAAAUGGUAUACACAUUGACGAAGUGGCUAGAAGAACUGGAGCGCCAAAAACAAAUAUUAUGUAUACCUCUAUCUUUCUUUUUUCUCCUGUUGCGUGUAUGAUAUGCUGAGGCUGACCUUUUACUAUUUACUACACAGGGAGGUUAUCAACUUUCUCGCUGAUACAGGCUUGCUCUGUUGGACCAUUGAUGACUAUCAUGUCAAGUGUACGGCUGAUCAACGCAGUAAUCUUCGGAACUAGUCUAGAAUGUGAGACUCAGUUUUCUUAUCGAUGCUACCGUACUACUCCGUAAAACUCCGCAAAAGAAAAGACUACUCCGUAAAAGGUAUUAGUGGCACAUGGUGUAAGUAUGCACAGUUAUACAUGUGCAAUAGUUUGGCUCGGUCUUUCAUUUGUUAUAAGUGUUAGGUUAAACUACUUUUGUAGUUUGUGUAUAGCUCUAAUUACCGUGCGUAUGGGUCUUAUCCUUCUAGUUGCCUUUUUUGCUUUUAAACUAUGCUGUUUUCCCAGCAUGGAUUAUAUAUGAUAUGCUAGUAUGUUUCGAUCAAUAGAUUUUCUGCCUGGUGGUUUGCAGUUGAACUUGCUUCUGAAAUGUACUACUUCUGUCUUGUCCAAUUCAUUGCACCACGAGAAAUAUGAAAAAAAAAUAGGGGUUUGGUUUGACAAAGUCACACAUCAGUUUGUCAGGUCAACCACUUCUAUUGGUUUUACUGUUAGGAUCAUAUGUUCGAUGCUUUGUCUUGUAGUGUAGCUUAUCUUUUUAGGUUGUCUUCUCAAAAGAAAUCUUAUCUGCUUGGAGCAAUAAUUGUGUACAAUAACUUCUUCAGUAUACUUACCUAAGGUGCAUUUCCCAAAUGCUGUCUACUGAUCAUAAAUGUACACGUGCUAUCCAAAAGCUAGCGUGUCAGCCAUUCUUAAUCCUCCCACCCAACUAACACUAGUUUGCUAAUAUCUGGAUUAGUGUUGGAACCUUCUACAGGUUAUCAUAGAACCUUCUGUAUUAUAUUGUCCCGAAGAUCACAUAUAAUAGUUCCUAAUAAAUUGAAUGCAGAGCAUGCGUGAAAAAAAGUCAAUUUCUUGUUUGAGACUUCUUAAGACAUGCCUGGGUCAGGUAUGCUGUACUUGGCGCUCUCUAUGGAUUGAUGUUUGGGGUAUUUAAUUGCCUGUUCCAUGUUCAUUCCUAUAUCCCACUCACAUUGGUAAAGAAACAAUUCAGAGUCACACAUAACAUGAUACCCCUCUGCGUCAGGUCCAUAAGGUCUUGCUCUUCUGUCCUUGUUUCCAAAGGGAAUUUUUUCAUGUAUUCUUGUCAUCAUAUGUCAUCUGGCUGUACAAUUUUUUUUCACUCUACAUGCUAAACCCCAUUAGGUAGGUGAAAACAUACGGCGGCUAUUAAACUUAUACAUGGUUAGUUGUAUUUUUUAACAGGAAAGAGGUGAGUUGUAUUUGACCAUCUUAUUUUCUUCGGUCACAGAUUUGCUGAUUAAUAAAAAUAUGACUAACAACUUAUUGGACUUGCUUAUCUGAAAUUCUUUGUUGGUAGACAAAGGCAGUACUAGCCUAUUUUAUUGCAUGUCAUGAUCUAUAAAUUCGUCUUAAUUGCCAGCUUAUAAAUUCGUGGUCCUUACAAUAUCCAGAUAUCCUUCUGGAAUCUGGCAUUCUCAAACUACACUGACAAAAUGGCUGGACUGAUGAACCAUAAGCAAAUUAGGUAAAGGAAAAUAAUUUUCUUGGUACGAACCAAUAUGGUAUUAUCGAACAUCGCAUUCGGAUGAACAUUUGCUGGUGGCCUGUCAGCAGUGUGAACCAUUGUCAGUUCUUGUCAUGCAUUUAGUUGGUGCAGCUAUGAACAGCGAUCUGUUGAUUAUUUUGUACUAGAAAGAGAUGGUUACGUUGCUCGUGCCAAUGCAAUAUCGGUGACGUAUUAAUAGGGAUUCAUUUUUCCCGGCAGUCAUGCGAAUAUUUGCGUUUCUGGUCAUAAGGAAAUAUUUUGCUUCGUUGCUUUCGUAUGCCAUUGCCUUUCCAGAUCGCUACCCGAGCCUUUUACAUUAGCCCACUGUAGGUUUGACUGUGUUCCUGCCUCCAAUACGUACUGAAUCCUCGUCACUUGUCAUUUCUUUAUCCGAGUAGUCAGAUUAGGUCAGACUCUGCACGCUUGGAUCAGGAUUGGCCAUAUGUUGGUUCUUUGGUUUUGGGUUACCUAAAAGGACAAUAAUAAGAGGAGUUUCGGUGACAUUGUAUCCCUUAGACACGCCAAAGUGUUUUGUAUCUUGCUUGCAUUUAUCGCCAGGUCCGGGCGUCGCUACAAAGAUUCUUUCCUUGGGUUAAUCCCUCACAGGUGUAGAAAACCACAGUAUGCUGUCAGAAUAGCCACUCCAGAGUUCAUUGUCCAUCCCAAAUGAGAAUUUUGGCAGAGAACCGAAGCGAAGCACCGAAAGGUAUCAGUCGGGCGCUUCACGAACAAAUUCUAGCACUGUUGAACUGUUAGCCUUGAGGAUCAAGCACGAAAGGGAACCGAUGUUGUGCAUCGUGGUACUCCACUCUACGCUUUCCGAGCAAAAUCUAUUUUUUCUUUUCAACUAACCUCCAGACAUGUUAAACAGCUCCCAGGGGCACCUUGCGAAAGAUGAACACGUUGCAUAACUUGCAUGGGAAGCCGUGAACGUCCGGGAGCUCUGGCAUGUUGCGGGCAACGCAGGGCAGAAAUGGCCGGGGUCCCAAGGGUUUGUAUGAGGGGCACAGCUGUACCUGCCCCGAACUGCCCUGCCACGGCAUUGCACACCUGGUGUACUUGACACAAGUGCACGACCAGGUCAAAGCCUCCCCACCUGGCCUGGCGACGAACCCAACUGCCCGCCAUGAAUCGAUGCCACGCUUUGUCAGCACCUUGUCUUCUCUGUAUACAACUGUAACCCAUUUACCGAAGCAGCAGAUGGUCUUCAGAGUUCGAUCAGUAGGUCGAUCUGUCCGUCUCGGCCCGGCAAAAUCCCAGUUUGGCUUGCCGCUGUUUUGUCCAAGAUUGAACAUUCCGCACGCAUCGAGGCAGUUGUGCUUGCUUUUCAUAUUUAGAUACAGUACAAUUUUGGAUAACAUUGUAUUUACAGACUCGCAAAAAAACAAGGAAACAUUGUAGUUGUACUAUUAACAAGUAGGCCCGGUGGAGCAGCUAGCAAAAAUUCCACUGAAGCUAACACAAGCAAAGCAUCCGAUGUCGUUCCUUCCUUAGAUGCUAAGUGGUCGAUGUUGAAGAGGCUGAAGAGGAGGAUGGCGUGUCAAGUUCGUCGUCCGUGCCUUCGUCGAGGUCGUCGAAGCUCCAUGGCUCCUCCGCGUCGUCGCCCUCCUCCGCCUCCGGUGGCAUAGCCCACCGGUCUCGCCGGAUCUCGGCGCCUUCCAGCAGCUCCACCACCUGCGCGCAACGGCCACAAGCUUAAUGUUCAUCAGAUUAUCAGCGUUACACGACAGAGUGCGUUGUCACUUGGCAUGUGCUCGACGCCUCGAUCCCGCCCUAAAUCACGACCAAUUCCCUAGAGAAGCAAACCAUCCCGACCAACAUUUUUUUUCUCUCGCAACUAGCCUGUAGUGACUGUGCAGUGCCCCCUCAGUCAAGCGAGAUAGCUAGCGUCGUCGUCCGUCGUCGCGUAUCUACCUCGCUCAUUGACGGUCUCCACGUCGCCGACGCCCUGAUGCACAGCGAAGCCACGAACGCGAGCCGCCGUGCCUGCUCGGCUUCGUAGCCGCCGCCGCCGCCUUGGCCGGUCAUGAUCCUCGGAUCCACCAGCGCCUCCGUCUUGCCUUCCUUCAGGAGCGGCCUUGCCUGCGUUUUUCCCAUCGUAGUUCAAGCGAAAGCCAGCUGAAUUUCGCUUUAUUUAAGUUGGUUCGGUAAUAAACAAUCGACGUGUGGUGUGUUACCCAGCUGAGGAGGCUCCGGUGGGUGCCGUCCACCGGCUUCCGCCCGGCCAUGACCUCCAGCAGGAACACGCCGAACGCGAACACGUCCGUCUUCUCGUCCACGAUCCCGUGCGUGUAGUACUCCGGCGCCAGGCACCUGCAACGCAACCAAAACAAAGAGAACCCGCCAUGGUUUACAGUUACACCUCGAUCCAUCUCGUUCCAAAUGAACUGGAAACCGAGGCUUAAUUUACCCGAACGUGCCUUCGAUGGGCGCGAUCGCCCGGUGCGUCCACUCCGUCGGGAGCCACUUGGCGAGCCCGAAGUCGGAAAUCUGUAAAUGCAAUGUUACUCUACUGUGCGUGGGAGAGGAACAGAGGAGGAUGGAGAUGUGGCACCUGACUGAACUGACUGACCUGGGGUUGGAAGUCGUCCGUGAGCAGCACGUUGGAGGCCUUAAUGUCCCUGUGUAUGAUCCGCCUCCGGCAGCCCUUGUGCAGGUACUCCAGCCCCCUGGCCGUGCCCACCGCGAUGCCGUACCUCGCCUCCCACCCCAUCGCCGGCGCCGCCCCGUCUGCAUUCUUUGUUAAUUAACCCCGAGACUCAAGGAACAUUAAUGGCGGCGGCUUGAGAGGUGGUCUCUAGAGGUCGUACCGUGGAGGAUGGCGGAGACGGAGCCGCGGGCGGAGAAGGCGAAGACGAGGUAGAGGUCGCGGUCGACGCAGCAGCCGAGGAGCGCGCACACGUUGGGGUGCCUGGCGUGCCCCACCGUGCCCAGCUCCGCCAGGAAGUCCCGCUCCCGCCGCUCGCACGCCGCCGCGCCCAUCAGCCGCUUCACCGCCACCGCCGCCCCGUCCUCCAGCGUGCCCCGGUACACCUCCGACGACCCGCCCUUCCCCACCAGGUUCUCUGCGCCGAAACGCCAAGACAAAGAAACGUCAGAAAUCCCUGGAGCAAUGCGCCGUAUGUACGGUAACGCACGCGACGUGCUCGAUGGAUUGAUUGGUUUUACCUCCGUGGAAGCCGUUGGUGGCGCGGUGGAUCUCGUCGUAGGAGAAGCACCGCCACGCGGGCUUCCCCGGCGGCGAAUCAGGUGGCGCCCCCGGGAGCGGCUCUGCAGCGUGCGCCAUGUCCAUGUGGGCGGUGGGCUUGGCGAUGGAGAGGAGAAGCUUCUUGAAACGGUCCCUGCCCCGCGAGUACAGAGGCUUCAUCGGCUAUCUCCUGACCUGCCAAUGCGACUAGGCGCGCCUAGCUAGCGGGGGAACUUUGUCCGGACAGCAAGUAGUACGUUGGAGCCGGUGAGUUGAAGAGGGAAGAGGAUCGGGAGUCGGAAGGGAGACGAAGUGGCGAUCGAUGGCGUAUUUUCGCCCAGGAGGUCGCGCGGGGACGUGCAUAUGAACGCGACGCGAGCGACCGUGGACCGCGGUUGCACGAAACAGGUUAACAAAACAGCGUCCCUUACUGCCAAAGCAAAGCAAAUUGUGCUGUGGGCACACGAAUCGGCGGCAGUGUACGUGUACUCUGUUUUACUGGUAGUACGGUCUUUCCUCCGGUGGCCGGUGCUUGCCCGGUACGGCCGUGGAACGAGUCUAGGCGGGUGGAACCGGAAACGGGAGGGAGGGGGCAGCUGCUUACGGAGAAGGGAAGAGCGUGCGCUGCAGCAGGAGCAGGGGAAGGGACUCCUUGACCGACCCCUCCAAGCUGUCGAUCGUUUCGCCACCGGCUCCACUUCGGUGCGAACAAGGGAACCUAAACAUAGGUGCUCUUCCUCCUCUCAAAACAAAACAAAGAUUUACUGCUGAGCUAAAUGCAAGCGAUGCGAUUGACCUAGGAGAGCCAGCAAUUUGCGAUUGACGUGAGCCUACGACUUUACGUGCACUUCCAAGGUCUCAAAAUACAAGGUUACGGUAAGUUAGUAUUUUCGAAAAUGAACGUGAUGAUAUCAUAUCGUGUGACAUAUAAGUUGUACAUCAAUGAAGUAAUUUUUGUUCUAUCCAGUCUCGGUCAGAGAAAACGAGACAUGUGUUGUACAUUGCGACGGAGGCAGUAUGUUUUUGUCUGCAACUCGUAAAAAAAAGAGAGUGUAUACACAACUUUCUUUCUCUUUUUUCUGGGGACAUGCAUCUUUAUGUUAGUGUUGAACUCACGCCCUUGCGUCGAGGGCCUUGGGGCUCUACAGUGUCUAGAUGUUUGGCAAGACGACAUGGCUCGGAGGUCAGACUAAAAUGUUGACGCGGACAUAUUUUCAUCUAGCCCCAUGGUGAUGGAUCGCAUAAGGGCGUAUUUUAUUUGAGGCAAGAAAAGACAAUUUGCAUGAACUCACAGAAUUUUAAGAGUGAUGAUGUCUUUUUCAGCAGCAUAUAAUCUUGAAAAUGGAAAGUCACAUCACCAUGGAAGCAUGGACAAAGACAGUUGAGAAAAAAAAACUGAUAUACUCCCUCUCUGGCCAUUUCUAGCGUAUUUUAUUUGAGACAAGUCACUUAUUUCCGGACGGAGAGAGUAAAAGAGUUUGUAGCGAAAAAUGAAAUUCACUAAUACUCCGUAUUUAAUUUCCUCAGUGGUAUUACCACACAAAAAUAAAUACUUCUGAAGUGCAGAAUAUUUAGGAAACUUGGUAAAAUUACUGAAAACUCUCCAACAAGCGAGAACCGAAUAAGUCAUGCAAUACGAAAAAAAGACAAGGGUGUUAUAGCAAAAAAUGGAUCCGCUUCUCAGUGCUUCUUCUGUGCUGGGGUUUGUGACCUGGGACUGGGGUUUUCGUCGUGGUCGGAAGUGAAGAGAGGAGGAGAGGCGGCAACUCGAAUGCCAUGUACUAGAGCGAGAGGAGAACUGGAGAAGCGAGACCAUCAUUCCCUCUUCCGCACCCUCCCAUCGACGAUCCUCAGCUCCACGCCAUGGCCUCUUCCCCCAUGUCUGGUCCGCACCAAUCCUGCAACCCCCCAGCCAGCGUAUAUUUUCUUGCGAAUUUUUUUGGGGCAUUUUUUUCGGGUCAAGCUUUGCGUAUGGAGGUAUUUGCAUAGGUGUCGAUUCGCCGGUCGGCGUUAGGCGGCCGAUUACGACUCCAUCGGAACUGAUCUGGCCCUGCAUGUUUUAUUGGUGGAAUGGAUCAUGGACUUACCCUGCAAAUUAUUCAUGUUAUAUGUGAUUUAUUGCAAUCAUAUUAUGAGUAUGAUUUUCACCAGCAUUUGUGGUGCAAUGCCAUCUUCUUCUUUGUUACCUGUGUGAAAAAACUCAAAAUAUUGCUCGGCAAGGACAUGACCCUGCCAGUUGCCUUAUUAGUACUCCCUCCGUUCCUAAAUACUUGUCGCUGUUUUAGUUCAAGUUUUGUACUAAAACAGCGACAAGUAUUUCGCUGUUUUAGUUCAAGUUUUGUACUAAAACAGCGACAAGUAUUUAGGAACAGAGAGAGUACUAUACAUUCUUUCUAGCUCGGCAGCUAAUAUGUAUUUAGGUGAGUAGGUACCUUUAAUCCAGGGAAAUUAAUUACUUAGUGUUUAGGAAGAGACCUGCAAUACUCAUAAUAUUUAUUUUCUUCACCAUUUGCUGGGCGACAUAAUGUUGGUUACCAGUUUACCACUACUUUGAGGAUGUUCCGAAUUUUUUGUGAGCAGUGACCAUACCUUUUUGAUUCUCCAGAAUUUAUUGCCGAUCCAAUUAAAUGCUGUUUGCUGAGUGUUGAUGAAAAGAGAGAACUUGUCAGGGAGUUAUCGAAGUAUCCGGAUAAUGCACUUGAACUGCUACAUGAAUGGACUCGCCGUGAUAUUGUACAGAUUCUAUGUUCUGUGUUCCGUAAAGGGAGAACAUUUAAUGGGGCUUCAAAACAGGAAAUACUAAAUUUUCUCAUCAAAGCUGUGAAUGGAAAGUCAUCUGGCUGUAGGAAACGUGUGAAGGAGUCAGACCCUGAGCCAAAGUCAAGUAACCUCCAGUGCCCUUACAAAAAACAGAAAAAGAAUGCUGUUCCAGUAGUUCCAGUUACUGCAAGUACUCCAGUUACAGAUGGUGUAAGUGCAGCAACAAACAAGGCACACCUUUGCCAAAAUUCAGCUUGUAGGGCUGGUCUUAACCCAGCAGAUAAAUUUUGCAGAUGUUGCUCGUGCUGUAUCUGUUUGAAGUACGAUGACAAUAAGGAUCCUAGCCUCUGGCUGUUCUGCGAUUCAGACCAACCCUCGCUUGAAGAGUCAUGUGGUUUGUCAUGCCACUUGGAAUGCGGAUUCAAGGAUGAACGAUCCGGCAUUCUGCAGAGGGGACAGUCAAAGAAACUUGAUGGUGGUUAUUACUGUAUCCACUGUGGGAAACAAAAUGAUUUACUCAGGUAUUUUUCUGAAACGUUUUCCAGUUACUUCUUAUUAUAUAUUCUAACGUUGAAAUUAGACACACUCACACAUCUGUGUCAAUGCUAUUGCUCCCAGUCUUACUUAUUAGCUGCCUUAUCGCAUCGAUUCUGUUCUUGUUAAUCUCCACCAUGACUCACUAAUUCAGAAUGGUUCAGAUUUUUAGCCUUUCUUAUAAGUUCAAUUUUGUGUGAUUUUCCCUACGACCAAACUUACCAUGUAAAGAACUAGUGUAACAUGCAUGCUGUGUGUACAAGUGGCACAUGAAUAUCAUCAUGUCUCAUUAGUCAUAUAGUUGUUGAACUGGUCUGUGUAGAUUCAAUCCAGUCGCUAAGAUAACUAGUUUUUUCUUCUACUGUGACAUUAUUAUGGUUUUCAUUUACAGUAAUUAAACGAAAUAAAAGAGACGGACCAAAUUCUUACUAUUUACCAACCAACUUACCAUGCUGUUCACACAGUGUGCUCAUUUUUUUCUCAGUGCGGUUUGUUUUUUCACCUUUUUUCAUUUACUUGCACUUGGGGUCAGACUUGUUUGUGAGAAGCCCACCCUUAUUUUUCUGGUACGUCUGGCACUCUGGCCUGACUCCAACCAAUAAAGGCCCACCCAAAUUUUUUAUUUAUUCAGGAAAUUAAAAAAUGAUAUUUACUCAGAGAAAUAAACGGGUUGGUUGUUUGUAAAUAAAUACAUAAGUUUGUCGGCCGCCUAGCUUGGAGAUGCCAGAAGCCAGAUUAGGGCAGGCUCGAACAACUUGUGAUGCGCCUGCGGGGAUAGUUCUCACAUCACUCCUGAAUAUUCAUAUCCCAAAGGGCAUGCUAUAAUGUUUGAUUUAUUCCAUGCAAGGGCACUAGACUGAAUCACUGAAACACGUGAUAGGAUGUAGCAAAGUAGUAACUUGCCACAUCCUGGGGUUGCUUUUAAAUGUUAUGCCAUUUAUGUGGAAAUAGAAUAUAGUCCUUUUACCCCUUUUCUCUGAAUAGUAGUUAGGAGAAAUCCUCUAGUUAUACUUCCAUGAAGUCAAAAUGAGAAAUUUAUAGUACUUAAGUCAGGGUUGGAUGCAAAAAAAUUGUUGAGAAUAAAGUUAUUUUGUCAGCUUCGGAUCUAAAAAUGUCUGAAAGAUUAAUUAGUUGAUUUUUCCGGUAGGAAUUUGUCUUAUCAACCAGAAAAUCUAUUUUGUACGUGAGUAUUUAACCAUGUAUAUUUAGUAAGGAUGACAAUGUAAUUUCAUUUUCUCAGGUGCUGGAAGAAACAAAUGUUGAUAGCAAAAGAUGCUCGGCGGUUGGAUGUGUUGUGCCACCGGAUACUUAGUCAUAAGAUCCUCAUAUCCACUGAAAAGUACAUGGUCCUCCAUGAGUUUGUGGAUAAAGCAAUGAAGAAGCUGGAGGGCGAGUUUGGUCCAAUCACUGGCCUUCCAGAUAUGGGUCGGCGACUUGUUGGUCGUCUCGCUGUAGCUGUUGAAGUUCAGAAGCUUUGUAGCUGUGCGAUAGAGACUCUUGAAUCUAUGUUUUCUGGUGCCUUAACUGCUGACUUGCAAAUUCAGAGUAAGUUUCCAUUUUUUCUAUUUUUUUGGUUAUCUUACGCCCGUUAUUGGGAUGAAUUCUUAUGCAUAACUUGUAAUUCAGGAUCUUCUAUGGUGCCAUCAAACUUCAUAAAGCUUGAGGAUAUUUCCCACGGAUCUAUCACUGUAGUUUUUGACCUCGACAUAUGCCCUACGCUCCCUCAAGGUUUAAUUGGCUUUAACUUGUGGCGCCGAAAGGCUAGUAUAGAAGAUUAUCCCUCAAAACCAACAGGCAUAAUACUGAUGCCAUCGACAAGUUUGGUGGUCAGAGGACUUGCUCCAUUUACAUGCUAUGUCAUCAAGGUUAUUGCAUUCACCAACUCAAAGGAGGUUGGAUCGUGGGAAGUCAGGACAAAGACAAUUUGCUUUCCCAAUAAAGUGGAUGCAAAAAUUUCAAUGGCAGUGGAUGCUGGAACAGACCCAAAUAACAGAAGCUUAAAGGCAGAUAGUAGUAGUGAUGUGUCCAAUCCUUCUUCAGGAGAUGUGAAAUCUGACAAUGAUUGUACCGCUUAUGCUGAUCCCAACAGGUCGCUGAAAAGUCAUGUUGAAUAUUGUACAAAUAUUGAUAUCCUUUACCCUGAAAAGUCAUCUCUUCACUGCAAUGAAACCACCAGUAACUCGAGAGAUCUAAAAUAGGUGUUGCUGGGGUAACUAAAGUUGGUGAACUGGAGGAAGCUCCUAAGGUAUCAGCAUCAGGUUUAGACGACAACGAAGAAGAACCUGGAUCAGCUGCUCAAGCAGCUUUACUGAAGAGGUCCUCAGAGUUAAUGGUUCAUAGUCAUGGAACUUUGAAGCAAAACCAGGCAACAAUUGGCUCACAAUUUGCAUCAUAUGCACACACUGUACAGAAGCCAGUUUCUCAACCUGAAUCCUCCGGCUUAUUGCUAACCAUCAUACAGAAAGGUGCUGAAAACUGCAAGGGGGUUUCUGGGAGGAUAUUUGAAGCAAAAUCCAGUCAAGGAACUUUGAGGGAUAAAACCGACAACGUGAGUUUACCAUGCAAGAGAACCCCUGGAAGAAUUGAGGAAGGUGGACACAAUGAAGGACCUUCAGAACCAAACACAUCUGCUCAAGUAUCUUCUCUUAGGAAGUCGUCAAACCUGGUGCCUCACAAGCAGGGGAUUUUAUUGGAGAAUCCGUCAUGUUCAUUGGUUCCGAUAGCAGCAGGCAGUGAGAUCAUCAGAAGAAGCUCUAAAUCAAACAACGAUGACUGUGUUCCUCAACGUGGCCCUUUGAAACCUGGAACAGAACUAAGGAAUUCAUCAAACAAGAACACCACAGGAAAACCCGUGGACAUUGACCACAAGGACGAGCUUACGUCCUGUGUCAAGGUGAUCAGGUGGCUGGAAUGCAAAGGUUACAUCGAGGCCAACUUCAGGUUGAAGUUCUUGACAUGGUUCAGCUUAGGAGCGACUCAGCAUGAAAGGAGGUUAGUUAGUGUGUUUGUGGAUGCUCUCAUCGAUGAUCCUGUAAGCCUUGCCGGGCAGCUACAUGACACCUUCUCAGAUGCAAUCUACAGCAAAAGGCCAUGUGUGGCGCCAUCGAGUCACUAGUUUUAAUCAUCCUAUUGUUAGAGGAUUUAUCUUAGUCCCAUACUUUAGUAGCUGACCCUUGCAUCCUUUCUCACUGGUACCUUGUUCACUGUAAUAGUUUGAUAACUUCCCCCCUUUGCAUUUAAAGUAAAAAAAUUGUAAUCAGAAUGGAGUGUCAGCGUGUAGCAGGUAUUUUGAAAUCCAGAUGUGCCUGUAAGGUGUAAAACUAGAGAUCUUGAACCUGAUUUCUGCCAGUGUUUGCUGGUUGUCACAUAGAAGUUUGAUGAUCCUUAAGUUGGGUGCUGACGAUAAGUAUCAGUUUUAGCUUCUCUGGGGCUUCUCAUUCUAAACUUUUGUGCUCCAUAUAGAGCUAACCAGCAUCAGGCAGUCAGAUUACAUCGAGAUUAAGAUAGCCGUCCAUAUUGUGUUUGCAAUCCAUGUUAUCAGAAACUUGAUUUGUCCCUAUCUCUGGAAUCGCUGUAGUAGAAUAUAGCAAUAGUAUGCAGAGAUUGUAUAGUAUGGUUUUGGCUCGAACCCAAUUAUUAUCAAACAAAGAGGAAGUCUUUUGAAAAAGAAAAUCUGGAAUGAAGAGUGGCCUCUUAAUAAGAAAAUGGAGAAUCGCCGGGCCCAUAUAUAAGAAUAACUGGCUAGGAUAACAACGAUAAAAGAUGAAACAUUUAGUUAUAUUUUGAUGUAUCUGAUGCAAAAUCAGUAUAUGAAUACACAAAUAUGUUUAUUUGUACUCACAAAACUGAUACUAAUCUGGAAAUGUACACUACUACUAGGAAUGAUAAAAGUCCCAUUAUCCUUUCUAACAUUUCAACAAUAUAUUAUAUUCAAUGUUCUUUAUCAUAUCAAACCUCCGGAUCUACAAUGAUCCGAACUCUAGUUGACACUGGAGCGGAGCUAGUGAUGGUUAUGUCUAUGGUCCUGCUUGAUUGGCCCAUGUAUGAAGAUGCUAAGUCUUCAGCAGCACUCCCAUUUCUCAGCAACGCAGGCUGCUUAGGUUCAAUUGGAAAGGUCAUGCUUUCAGAGUUCAGCAUGGCAGCAACAUCUGUCAUGGUGGGGCGAUCUGCUGGAUCCUCCUGAGCACAAAGCAGAGCCACCUGAACGCAUCGUGUUAUCUCAGUGAUUUCAUAUCUGCUACCUAACGAUGGAUCUACAAGCUCAUGCAACCUUUGGGCCUUCCACAUACGCCAGGCCUGAAAUAUUUUCAAUACAUUUGACAUUAGAGAACCUCAAUGUAAAUCCAAGCUCAUAAAUGGGUGAAGUAUCAACACAAACAUUUGAGCAUAGAAAUGUAAGAUGUUUCUUGAAAUGUAUGUUCACUCACAUUUCGUACAAGAUCACCAACAGUAUCCCCUUGCUUGUCGAGUAUGAUAUUCCUCCGUCCACUAAUGAUCACCAGAACCAGAACGCCAAAACUGAACACAUCUGUCUUCAGUGAGUAAACUCCUUGAGAUGCAUACUCUGGAGCUUUGUAACCACUGAAAAUUGAAAACAAAAGAGACAAAAACUAUAAAUUUAGAACAUCUGAACACAAAUGAUGGAAUCUGUAAUGAUCGAUAUAUCAGGCAGCCCAUACCUAGUACCCACAACCCUGCAUGUAAGCUCUUCUGCAAUGUCGGAACUCAUUGUUUUAGAUGAUCCAAAAUCAGCAAUCUUUGGGUUCAUGUUGUAAUCCAAUAGGACAUUAUUUGGUUUCAAGUCCCUGUGGACAAUCCAUAACAUGGAGUGUUUGUGCAGGUAAACAAGCCCCUCUAUUAAACCUUUGAUUAUUUUGAGUCGCUUAGACCAGUCUAGCAAUGGCCCUUUUGUUUUGUCUGCAAAGUUUCCAAAUAAUUGUUAUCUUCUAGAUAAAAAUAAAGUUGCAAUUUCUGUUUCAAACUUAUUAUGAUUCGAGUCAUGAAGAAUCAUGUGAAAUUAAAGCUGCUGUAGCCUUACAUUUAACAGUAGACCUUUUGUAUUCGUGCACAUAUUUAAAAGAGGUACCAUUGAAAAAUAACACUGAUAAUACUGAAAGCGUACCAGAUAUGUAACUUUCCAGGGAACCAUUUUGCAUGUACUCAUAGACUAGAAACCUUUCUUUCCCAUGGAUGCACCACCCCAAUAACCUAAUCAAAUUUGGAUGCUGAAGCUUUGUGAGUUGCAAUUCACUGUCGAAAUCAAAUAUUGUUGCAGGGCUAUCAAGUCUUUUGAUGGCAAUCAUAUGUCCGUCGGGCAACUGACCCUGCAAUGGUCACCAAGGGAGUUCAAAUUAACAUUUCCUAACAUAAAUCAGUGCUUUAUUGGGAAGAAAGGGAGGACAUGCAUUCAUUUUGUUAGUUUCUUUCUUUGUUGUUACAAUGUACCUUAUAGACCGUAGAAAACCCACCCCAUCCAAUUAUUCUCUUCUCCGAGAAAUUGUCUGUAGCAUCCACGAUCUGAAAGAAGUUGAAUUUUGCGAAUCCCGUGCAAGCCUCUUCUACACGGGUACAGAGCUUCACAAGUUCUUCAAUAUCAAAGAUUGUCUGUUCUUGCAGGUCUACUGUUCCUGACUCAUGGAUAAUCUAUACUUGUCACCAAUGGUAUUGCAGAGAACAUUAAUAUGACCAAGAGAAGACAAAAUUAUUGAGAACAUGCUCCAGGUUGUUUGUUUCACGGACCAUCAAGAGCACCAUCUUAUGAAAACAAAUAGAGAUUAGAAUAUAAGUUACGCAAUAUAUAUAGAUGAUGUUUCUAUCACUUAAGUCACAUCUUUCACGUGGUUACUAAAUGGAGUACAUAUAUGUACUAAAAAGGAAGUUCUCAAGUAUAGAACUGUAUGUACAGUAGUUCUUCCAUGACAUGUUCUUAUUAACUUCUAUCUAGCCGCUGUGAUAUUCUAUGUGCUGACGCAAUAUUUGCUCAUGAAAAAGUAUGCACAUAUAGAAAAUAAUAAUAUCAAAAUCGCUCAUAUGGACAUCUUUUAUUCUCUUAGCUACAAUAUAUCCAAAAACACGAGCAUGUAACUGCACACAGGCAUAACAAAGCGAUUCCGAGAUCCUUGAUGCAAAUAGCAUUGACGCGAAACUUAAAUAUAUUAGUUUCCAUAUCACUUACCUACCAAUUGUUGUUGUCCAACAUUGCAAAGUUCGGUAGCUCCUCGGGAAUGUAAUUCAGUGAAAUCCUCAGCUCUUGUAGCAAAACUAAAGAUAGGUAAAUCUCACCAUUAGUAUAUCUAUACACCAACACCAAUGGCUUCAGCAGUCCAAGAAAUUGGUAAACUUGAUACAUUUGAGACUGUACAAAUGACGAACCUAUGGCAUGGUACAUAAAAUGGAAAAAACAUGCUUUCUUUUUAAGUUAAAUAGAAUCCUACAUUACAGAAAUAUGUUGUACAUGUACAUAUAUGUUGCAAAUGCAUUGUCAUGAACUGCUCCGGAUCAGAACUGCUUCUAUUAUCUAAACAUAGCGUAGUCACUAGGAAACCCAUAAGGUAAAAAAUCAUCGAGUUGUCAGUUUUCCCUUUGUCAGGAAACCAAGUGGUUAACCUUCCACACUGCUACUUCAUCAAAAGACAACACAAAAGUUUAGAUUUAAAUAUUAAUACAUGAUAGAUAGUUCUCUGAGUAAUAAAAUACGGUGAUGAUUUAAAUAUUAUCUGACCUGAUGUGAUGAUUUGAACUACCUGCGACUACAGUGCGCACCUCCUCCUUGGCCUGCUAGACAAGAUAGAAAAAAAGGACAAAUAUUAUUGAUGAACAAUUGACCAGCAUAGGUUGUAUGAUCGAGGUUAUCCUUUAGACUUAUUGCAAAGAUUUUUUUUGGAAACGCAAGGGCAAGCCUCCCUGCCUCUCCAUCCUAGGAUGCACACAACCAUAAUUUUAUUACAAAGAUGCCAAGCAUCAAGGACGACUCAACGGCUUACAGAAAAAGAAUAAAAGAAAAAUUCGAGACCAACAUAUGGUCUCUCGGCAGUCGAUAUCUCCAUACCUGGCCAAAAACCUAUUGCCACGGACCAAAAUCCAUGGACAGUGACAACUGACGACACAGAACCAAACAAUGAGUGUGUUACUCAAAGGCAACGCCUUCAAGAAAGAAUAACCUUUCGUACGUCAAUGUUGUCGGGUCUAACCAAGAGGUCAAACAAGAGGUCAAACAUGGGGUUAUCACCCCGAACCUGAUUUCGCUUCGACCAACGAAUUCAAAACGUAUGUAUGACGACGACGCUGCUUGAUCCAGCGGUCGAGCCAAAAGAAGCUAAACAACAGGUUUUCACCCGGAGAACCCGCAUAAUCAUUGUUGAAACUGAUGUUGUCUUCCACCAAAGCUAUCGGUCGAGCCAAAAGAAGCUAAACAACAGGUUUUCACCCGGAGAACCCGCAUAAUCAUUGUUGAAACUGAUGUUGUCUUCCACCAAAGCUAUCGUCAGGUGCCUGCUCACGUCGAGCUAACCUGCUUCCAGUACAAUGGAGCCCUUGCCUCGCUCGUGGAAGCGGAGAAAUCGCCGGAAGCAGAUUGAGGCCAUGACCUGCACUACAUCCGGUCACUGCCGCACCACUGAUGUUUCCCAUCGAGCGGGCCAUCCAGCUAGAUCCGGAGGCCACCAUGCCUAAGAGACCUGGUCUCUCCUCCAGGCCGAAAGACCAUGUCCAUCUUGCGGCACGUGGGAAAUCCACUGCAUUAUAAUCAUGAUUAUUACUGUAUUUUUCUUUUUUCACUCCUGAUGCUUUGAGAAUAGUUUUAAAUGCUAAUCUAUCCACGUGUCACAUGAUGCACAUGGUCUCUUAGGAUUAUUUUCCCUGGAUGUGAACCAAUAAGGAGGAAGAAAAGGGUGAAGGGAGGGCUAGUACUGGUGAUUGGGAUGGGCGCCCGAGCCGCCAGGGAGAGCCCCGCCUGGGCGGCAGCUCAACUUAUUACAAAGCUGAAUCACCCUAUUUUUUUCGCAGACACGCCGAGUGGCGUGUCAUUUUCAUUAAGAAGAAAGCGCAAGAAGCGCACGUACAAACCGGCAGCUGAGAGAGCCAAAAGGCUCAAAAAGGAAACAAAAACAAAAACCGGAAAGAAAGAGAAGAAAAGCCUUUGGCAACUAUACAGGGAUAGAACUAGGCCCAAAAUCAGGGGGACGAGCGUGGAGAGGGAGGUGGGCAAGCUGGCUGAGAGCACGUGCGCCGGCGGCACGGCACAAGUCUGCCUCCACAAAGAUGUCCUCAACGAGUCGAGCAACAUCCGGAGAAGCUCCUUCGAAGAUGCAAGCAUUCCAAAGCUUCCAAAUCUGCCAGAGAGAGAGGUUGAUGAGCGACCGAGCGGCUUUCACCUUGCCCUGGAGCCUACGGGCUCCGGCCAAGAGCCAAUCGACAAGGUCCUCCGAGGGGCGAGGCAGGCAACAGAGCGCCCCGGCUCUGGCCAAAACCGCGUGGAGGACCGACUUCGUGAAAGCGCAUCCCAGGAGAAGAUGGGUCAUGGUUUCCAGCUCCUGAUCGCACAAAGGACACCGCACAUUGAAGGGAAGAUUGUGGCGUUCCAGGCGGUCCGUCGUCCAGCAACGGUUGGCGCAAGCGAGCCAGAUCCAGAUUCGACAUUUCAGCUGAGUCCAACAACGCCAAAUCUGCGACCAAGGUGGAAAGGUCAGGCGAUCCGCAAAGAGGUGAAAGGAAAGCUGACUUGGCGGAGUAGACUCCAGAGGCCGACCAAUUCCAGCGGAGAACAUCCCCCUGUCCUGGGAUGAGGACCACGGUAGCGAGGAUAUCCGCAAUCUGAAGGAACUCAACCAAGCCUUGGGCAUUCAGGGGGCCCGAGAUGUCCUGAAUCCAAGCACUCUCCUCAAGGGCAUCCGCAACCAAGCAUAUGCGAGAGACCUGCUGACUAACGGCAGCGAAAACAAUCGGAACGAGGGACUCGAUCGAUUUCCCAUCAAUCCAGUUAUCCGACUGAAAAGAGGGUAGUGCGAUCAUUUCCCACAACCGAGCUGUAAGCCUCAUGGAAGAGGGUGAGAAUCUGCGACCGAAAUCGGAUGCGGAAGGAGGCCCAAGGUUUAUCAACCUCGGUGCGCUGAAGCCAAGGCCAAGUUGAAGUGCGGUGCUUACUAGAUUUGCAUCUCUCACUCCAAGAAAGCUGAAUCACCCUAUGAAAUCAGACUUGCUGAAUUCAUAUCGAAUUGUUUGACUGGCAGUAGCAAAUUGCAAUUGGACUCCAAUUCAGACGUCCAGACCCCUUACGCAUAUCAGUUCAGCCGAAUUAUAAAUAAAAUCGCCUAAAAUCAGUGCUUUUCCUCAAUCACAUGCGACCAUAUAUAGGCUUAAAUUUCGGUAUGAACUUCCGUGGGCUCGCCAGAUUACUACUAGUAACCAACGACGAUUUGAAAACAACCGUACCUUGAUACGACGACUGUUUGUAGAAUUGUCCACAAGGGCGAUGAGCGGGAUGAGGCGGACGAACAUGUCGAUCUCGUGCUGCGCGGCGCGGAGCUCAACGGCCAUCCUGGCACCCAGGAGCAGGCGGCGGAGAUAGCCGCAGUCCUGGCACGCGCUGACGAGCGCGUAGCACCGCCGCAGCGCGCCGCGGAGCUGCUCCAGCGGCCGCCUGGUGGCCUCCCGCCGCAUCAGCUCGGCCAGCUCCAGCUCCCUGAGCAGGCCCCCCACGAGCUCCACGUGCUGCGCGAGCCGCACGCAGGCGUCCCGGUGGCGCCGCGCCGCCAGGGCGGCCUGCACGACCAUGGAGACCAGCCCUAGGGCGUCCACGCCGACCAGCUGCGCCACGUUCGAGGCUUGCCCCAGGGUGCCCCACAGGCUGCUCGAGGAGCUGUCCCAUGGGCUCGCCAUGCUCGCUGCUUCCUGCCUCCUGCGCCUGCGUUGCUGGAGCUCCUCUGUUACAGGCAGGUUGCCGGCAUGGGUGGGCACGGGCGCGGCACGUAUCUAUUGGUGAGCUUGGGUUCGUCGCCGGCGACUUUGACUAUAUCUGGACUUUCUGUUGAACAAAAUGGCACGUACGUGGACUUUGACAUAGCCCGGCCCGCUUGGCCCAUCAGUCCAGAGAGGCCACGCAAUAUGGUUCUGACUCCGAUUUCGGUUCCGGCUUUGGAAGCUUUCAUGGAUCAGAAUUUCAGGCACGCUGCCUAUUUCUACUUUCCAAAAGUUCACAUGUACUGUAUCACUACACCAUAUACUGUUGUUCAGUCGAUCUUGCAGCUUCUGUUGUCUGAAUGAGAACUCUGCUCUAGCCGUCACCAUCGAAGAUUUAGCGUUCUCUUUACCUUCAGCCGCCGUCUUGGCGCUGAAGGGAGGAACCCCUCAUAACAUUAUCCAAAAGUGUUUGCAUAUUUCAAUUGUUUGAUUUCGAUCGGCGACGCAAUGGCAGAGAUUGCGAUGCCGUCGCGAAUAAAGAUACCCUGGUUCUUUCUCUGUUGUGGUGGUGCCUCAACAGGCGUUGUUGCGGAGCCAGAGAUUUUUAAUCCCCGUGAGUUUAGUUUACCCGAUCUUGUGGAUUUUGGAUUUGUGUACUCGCAGAUACGUUUAUACGUAUCUAUUGAGUUUUUGUUAGUGUGUCACGGUGCUUUUAUUGGUUUUAUCUUUUGUAAUUUUGGAAUACUUCUCUGACGUUCUGAUGAAGAUCUUGCGGUUCGAUGACCUGCACGUUAAGGGAUCAUCCCCGGCCCAAGUACGUUCAACGCUCAUGACUUCUCAUCUUUUUGGAUGAGCGACUCAAGGGGCUUUUCGAAACCUUUGAAAGUAGUCAAGUUCGUGCAGGGAUACCGAUAACAAUGUUGCUGCUACAGUCUGAUUGCAGUCUCUAUGCUAGAGUCUCAGCAGAAUUUCAUAUUGCAAAGUAUGAAAUCACGGAGAAGAUUGUUUUAAGAGAUUUCAUUGUAAUUCUUAUUUAUAUGAGUUACCUUGUAAUUUCUAGAGUUUAUGAUCCAAAGUAUUAUACCUGUAAUGGUUCUCGUGUUUGAAUAAAGUUAAAGGUUUCUAAAAAAAAUGUACUACAUAUCACUAAAAUUUGUUACUCGUUUUUUUUAAAAAGUAGCCGUUCCAAAUGUGUCACUAUGCUAAUUUUUUUUCACAUAUUGGUGCAAAGUUCUGAGGGAUAUAUUUCGAAACUACAAAAUUCUCUCAUUGAUUACAAAUACUCCAUAAUUUUCUGUUUCACCCCAUUUAGUCACCUCUGUCCUCUCAGGGCAUCUCUAGUAGGGUUAUGAUAAGUAAUGAUGUGUAAAAUUGUUCAUGUCAUCAUCGACCAACAAUUUAUCAUACAAUCACUUUUAGCGGUGUGUGUCUAAGCUUGGGCCCAGCUGGUACUUAACGCGAUGUUCUCAUCGGACGUCAUCCAUGUGGCUGCUGCCCUUCCGUGGCAGCAGCGAUGUGUCACGGUAGUGGGGGCGCCUUUUGGCCCCAUGCUAGGCUCCUUCGUUCCAGGUUCUUGCUCUUUGCUCAGGUUGCCCUAUUUGGUUCUACUGUCCGCGGUGGGUGUGCAGAUGCUGCGGGUGAAAACCUCGUGCCGACUUUGUCAGUGCCGACGAGGAUGGCAUCCUCGGACGUCAUCUCCUUCUUGAAGGCAUUGUCGUGCAGCCUCAUUUGCCUCCUUCCUUUCGUGGUCGAGGUCUACGAGUGAAAGCUCAAUGCUGGUCCUCGGGACCGAGCAACGGCGGCAUUUCUGAUAUGUAGUGUCCUUGUUGAAGGCGUUGUCUUAGGAGACCUGCAUGAAGACGGUGGUUUUGUUGCAGUGUGUGCGGGCUUGGCUAGGGGUUGCGGUAUCGAGAAGCGGGAGCUCGCCUGCACGCGAGCUGCAUCUUGAAAUCGAUCUCCUCCUGUCUCCGGUCGCCAGGGAGGGCUAGCUCCGCCUCCUUCUUUGGAGUUGUUUUCUCCUCGGUGUCAUUGGAGCGGGUGGUUUUUUACUUUUGGUGCAGCAUGUUUGCCCAGCGAUGUUCUAGCGCUUAGCUCGUUGUCUAGGUUUUUGUACUUCCUCUGUCCAACAAAGGAUGUCUCAAUUUUGACUAUUUGAAUGCAUGUAUAUAUACAGUAAGUCAUGUUUAAAUACAUCCAAAUUUUGACAAAUUUAAGACAUCUUUUGUUGGAGGGAGGAAGUAUGGCUUUUCUUGAAUAAGCCAUGUUUUGUACGGGUUUUUUGACCCAGUUUUCCUUAUAAACGAGGUUACGGCCAUCGGUCUCUUCUUCUUCAAUGGAAUUUUAGCACUCUUUCAAAGAAAAAGAAGCAGUGUGUGUCUAAAUUGUUCAAUAGAAGGUCAGCGAGUGAUAUGUUUGAUAUAUCAUCCCACCGUGAGAUUGCAUCUGGGUUAUACAUUAGUCUCUUCAUUUAAUUUUUUUUUACAUUAUGUUUCUUUUGCGGGGAUUUUUUUUAAUUUACAUUAUCAAAACAUCUUAUUUCCAACAAAUAUCCCAUUACAAUUGAAGAUGUCGUUACAUUUCAUCUCCCGCGGUGUUGACCAUCAUCGAACGACGUUUUCGUGCAUUCCGUCACUUCCGAUUACUGUCGUAUUCGUUGUCAUCGUGCUUACCCUAUUCAUUUCACUUUUACAGGCCCCCGGCCGGCCCUUGCCCACCCCUAACCACAACACUCGGCUGCUGUUGUAUCUUACUAGAUGCACUGUUGCUCCACGGCAUCUAUCCAUUUUACUCCCUCUAUAGCCUAUACUCGUUAAACCCGUACGUGUUCCAAUGAAAAAAAGAAAAUGGGAGAGAGAAUUAUAGCGGAAAAAACGAAAGGUAAUCCCUGUUCUCGUCGAUAUCUCUAGCUAGCCUUUUUUUGUCAGCUAUACUAGAGCAGCUAUAGCAUGUUGGAGUAACAUCUAGGUAAGAGCAAGGGCAAUAGUAGUAGCCAGCAACUGGUUAUAAGCUCAUCUAAUAGCUAUCAUGUACAAUAGUGAGCUAUAAGAUGUUAUAUUUUAUUAAAUCUGAAUUCACAUUUCACUCUCACAAAUAGCCUAGAAGCUAGUGCUGUAGCUGGCUGUUAGCUAACAGUCCACUUCCUCUUCUCACUCAUCCAAGUAAACACAGAUAUGAUAUUUAAAUUUCUAUACCCAACUUAUACCCCACUGUCAUUCUUGCUCUAAGAUUCAAAAGUUGCGCGACGACAAGAAAACAAACAAAACAGCAGUGGUAGCUGUCAACGGCCGGACGGGAACAAUCAACAGAUCCACAGUGGAACCGUGGACCACGCAAGCACAGGGGGUCGAUUUGAAGCCGAAUAGACACCCCUCGUCGCAUUCCGUGCCGGCCGAAUUGAAUCAUAUUUUGGCACUGGGACUGGGAGGAGCUCAGAUUACCGGCCGGCUCGGAAGCCCGGAAUUUGACGGAUGGAGUAGGCCAGCGCAAAGGAAACGGAAAAAGCGCGCGCGGAAAAGCUGCCGCGCUAGCUCUCGGCUGGGCUCGAUCGGCUCCUGGCGGAGAUCCCGAUCCCCGACUGACCCAAAUGUACCGGGGACCGUCUCCCCAGUACGUACCUCCUCCGAUGUUAAUUUGAGUGAGUGUCACGCACUCGAAUUAACUUGCCUCGGAAGUUUCGUUGCCACAACUCAACGGAUCUUUCACCAAACCAAAACAAGAGACCAGAUAUAUAUACAGUGCUUAUUAUGCAACAGUACUAUCGGCAGCGGCAGUAGCACUUCACUUCUCCAAUGGGUGCGGCUAAGCCUCAAUGGGUGAAGCCGUGAAGGAGCACGCGCCAUUUUUUUCCUUAAGAUGUCAUGUUGCAUUCAAGAGUUUUCACUAAGACAAAAUAAACCACCACACGCUUGUUACUGUGCUGUACCAACAAACUAAGCUGCCGGCCCGGGUCUGCAUGCAGCCGAAGACUCGAUCCACCCGGCCGGCCGUCCAAUCUCGGCCCACACACUCUCAAGUCUCACCUACUCCCUCUGCCUCUGCCCCGCGGGCCCAGCGGUCAAGCACGCGGCCCACCCAAAAAUCGGACGCCCCUGAUCGAGAUGCCUUUGCCAUGCCUCGGCAAGACAAUUAUUGCGGCGCAGCCAGCAGCGACAGCGUGCUCCUACGUCAUGGCAUGUCAUGGCCGGCAUGAUCGCCAGCACAAUAAACAGUCAACAAAGCGCAUCACUUAAGCUCCGUUCACACAUCGAUUAGGGACUGAUAGAUGAUGGAUAGAUAGUAGUAGAUCACCGGACCGCAGCGUCACUAGGCAGGCGCUGCCAUUUGUUGUCGUUUGCCUCGUCCCUCUCCUGGUGUCCGGGCUCUCCAGAGUCCAUAUCCUGGUUGGUUUUUAGUUUAGUGCCAGAGCCCCCAGACAGAGGCUCCACUGUACUUGCGCUGGUGGUGGAUGCUGUGCGUCCGCGCGGAGGACGCCCUGGCCGCCGCUGCGGCCGUGGCCAUGGCGUCCGACAAGAUGCGCUCCUCCGUGACCCUGUCAGUCCCUGCCCCUCCCCUCCCCUCUCUCAUUGACUCAUGUGCUUCGCCGCGCUCUUGGGCGUUUGCUCAUCAAAGCUGUGUUCUUUUAUUUUUCUUGGCCCGCGCGCGCCAGGGGCGGCUCGAUCCAGAGGGCGAUGCAGAGGAUGGGCGGCGGCGGCGGCGGCGGCAGGAGAUCGGCCGGCUCCUCGUGCGCGCUGCCGCAGCGCGCGCCUCGUCUGGCGGCGGGAAGCGGCGACGCGUCGGCGUCGGCGAGCUGCUCCGGGGUUGGUUUUCUCGUAAUCCUUAUCAAAGCCCCUCUCUUAUGUCUUAUCUUCUCGCAAUUCCUCCUGGUCUCCGAUGAUGAACUUGUCGUGUCCGUAUGUUCCACUCCCACAUGCGGCAAUUUUUUUGCUUCCAGGCGCAAGAAUUUCCCGUAUUCUGAAUGCGGCACUGUUUUGCGCAUUCCGCAUUGGGCUGAGCACGCCGCCAGCUUCAGGGACACAAGCUGUCUGCUCCCUCGCGUGCUAAAAAUGCGAGGGGCCCCAGACGAAAUGUCACUUUCCCCUUGAUGUUCUUCACAUGUCUCACUGGAAAAAUUCGGGCAACCUUUUUUGUUGUUGCUAAAUUCGGGCAAUUUUGUUCCUUUCUUGCCUCUUGGACUGUUUUCAGGUGAUUUGAGAACCUGAUAUUGCUGUGGUGUUUUUUAAUAGGAUGAUAGCAGCAAUGGUGGCGGCAACAGGGAAGGGAUCCAGAGGGGCGGCACAAGGCGGUACAGAUCGCAGCUCGAGCAGGAAGUGAGUACUUUUCUUACUUCAUCACCUCUAAAAUCUUGAUGCUUGUAGUAUAAUGGUGUCUUCAGCGGUUCUUAUCCGUCGUGAUACUGACAAGUGACAACUUGUGCUCUAGUGGUUGACUGAAAGGUGCUUCCCUACAGACCACACUGUGUUUGUUAGAAUUCCACAUUAUGUUUCCAAGUACUAAUAGCAAUUGGUACUCUUCGGAAGCACAAUUUACUCUAAAAAGGCUAUGCUUAUGCUUGACAUUUAUUCAACCAGUUUUCAUUAAAUUUGUACAUAUGUAUGCAUACUAAGUGAUGGAUCAUGGAACAUAUAUAAAGCAAGUUCAAAGAUCAUGAGAUAUUAUUCUAAGAUGUGAUUGCCUACUGCAGGUCAGGAAUUUGCAGAGGCAACUCCAAGAAGAGAUCGACAUGCAUCUGGCAUUGACAGAUGCCAUCGCAUGUAAUGCCGAAGUGAUAUUGAAGUCUUCUACAAAGCUACCAAACAAGGUGCAGAUAUUGCAUCUUUUUUUUCUGCCUUGAACACAUAUUACAUAUAUUUCUAAUUUGCUCCAUGUCUUUGUAUACACUCACCCGUUAAUACUAGCAUUUCAUUUCCAGGCUCAGGAGCUCAUAAUUAGCAUAUCAUCCUUGGAGAUUACUGUCUCAAAGCUUGAGAAGGAUCUAAAUGACUUGCGCUACCAGCUCUCUCAUGUAAGGAAUGAAAGGCUACUUGUAGAAAAUUUUCCUGAAUACAUACUAUCUACGCCAUCAACUAGUAAAUGCACAUGGGAUGAAGUAAGUUCUCUUUAUAGCAAUAGUCUCAUUUGAAAGUUCUUAGUUUGGUAUGGAGUUGCUGACGGUUUCCUUGUUCUGCUUUCUAAGCACAUAUCAACAUUAAGAGAUUUUAAGUUGGGGGAAUAUGAACCAAUUCAGGCAAUGCAAGAAUAUUUAUUCCCUGAACUUGAAGACCAACAAGACGUUGAAAAGGGGAGUAAAGAUACGGAGAUGGUCUGUCCAUAUAGGCUGCUAGAAGAGCCCCAAGAUGUCCAUUUAAAUACAUUGUUGGAAGAACGACAAGAUGAAGAGGUCCGAUUUCAUUCAUACUUACCAGUUUUAGGCGUACUUGAUUUCAUAUUCUAUGCAAAAUAGUUGAAGUUGUCAGUAAAAUAAUUUCUUCUUGUUCCUGCAGAUGCAAGAGACAGGCUCUAUGGAGAAAGAUGACAAAGAAGAUCAAGGAAUAGAUGCAUCAUCAUUUAGCCAAUUGGAUCUGAAGAAACACAGCAUGAAGGGAAAUAUGUGGAAGAAUCCAAAUCAGCUCUCUGAAGAUAUGGUGCACUGCAUGAGGGAUAUAUUCCUACAUUUAUCCGAGUCAUCCAAGAUAUCACCAAAGAUAUCUUCUGAUAAUUUAUCUUCAUCAGCAGAAUAUCUAUCUGGCUCUACAUUUACGUCUGUGUCAGAUUCAUCUUUAAUGGCCUCAGUGUUGCGGAGCCCUUCGGUUGAUUCAGGUCAUGAUGAUGAUGAUGUUAUUGAUGAAGCAGAAAACUUUGAUCCAUACAGUGUUAAUGGGGAAGCCCGAAGAGACAUUGGAAAGUAUUGUUCAGUAACUGAAGUAUCUUGGAUGCAUGUUGGCAAGGGACAACUUGACUAUGCGUCGGAUGCUCUCAAGAAGUUCAGGUUUCCUGUUGAACCCUGGUCUAAAGCUAUCAAUACUAAUCAACAAAUUGCAUAUUCACAUAAGUAGUCCAGUAGAAUUUAGAUGAAUUAGGUCAAUGUUUUUCUUAGACGGACUGGACCAAUAACAAAGCACGUUAUAUGAGCCCCUAUUACGGAUUUGAGAAAAAUGUUGCCAUGGAAACUGCAUUUAUAAUUAAAGGUAUCAAAAUUGUUUUAUUCUACCUUCUAGUACUACAAGCAAGGACAAAGCACUAGUUUGUAUUAUAACAUGACUCCAAUGCAAACACCAUUUAACUGUUUCAGCCAUUCUUUUCUGCAGGGCCCUUGUGGAGCAACUAUCAAAGGUUGAUCCUACUUGUAUGAACUGUGAUGAGCGGUUAGCAUUUUGGAUUAACCUGUACAAUGCCUUAAUAAUGCAUGUGAGUGCCAUCUGUUACUUAGUGAUUUGCUCAGUAUACAUGGGAAAGAUGAAAUUGCAUUUGUUCUUCCUUACAAAAAUAGUGUGCUAUUUUGAUAAAUUGGAAUUUUAAAGGCAGUAUCUUUUAGUGUUACACCACCAUAACUUUUGUAAUUUGGUUUAUUAGUAGUUCUAAUUAAUGCAAUGCUGAAAGAAUGUUUCCUGCUCCCUGUUUAGUUACUCUUGAUUGCUUACUCGCUGAAUGUUGCCUUUUUUCUCUCUUGCAGGCAUAUUUAGCAUACGGGGUUCCUGGGAAUGACAUUAAGCUUUUCUCGCUGAUGCAAAAGGUUUGUCUGAUGGAGUAUUUAUUUGGUCCCCAUGUUUCUUUGAUAACAUAUCAUGUUACUAACCAACUUGAGGUAUUGCUCCAGGCCUGUUACAUGGUUGGUGGACAGUCCUUCAGUGCAGCUGAAAUAGAGUUUGUGAUUCUAAAGAUGAAGUCUCCUGCACACCGACCACAAAUUGUAUUCUCUGUUCCUCAAUCACAUAUUUCAUUUGUUUUUCAUGCACAUCGUGAUGUAUCUUACUGUUUUCUUCUAUUCAGUCUUUGAUGCUAGCCCUUCACAAGUUCAGAAUUACCGAGGAGCACAAGAAAUACUCAAUAGAUGACACCGAGCCCCUGGUGUUGUUUGCGCUUAGCAGUGGAAUGUUCUCUUCACCUGCUGUAAGUGGAUGAGCUUAUCUUAGUUUGUCCUGUCAACAUGUAUACACUGGAAAUCUGUUUAGUACCAAAAAUAUCAGUAAAGUAUGGGCUUUAUAACUCAGAUGAAAUGCUCCAUCCAUUACAAAAUGUGGGGUGUAUUCUGACUAGAGCUUUGACUGUAAAUUUGUUUUGCAAUAUUUUCUUAAUUUUUAGAAGGCGAAGUAUUCGGUGAAAACCACCUCUACGGUGCAAACUGUGAAAACUCCAUCGAAAAGACUUCAAACAAUUCUCAAAAAAAUCACAUAUGUUAGAAAAGUGAUGUUUUAUAUAUGUGUAAAAUUUCAAGUCCAAACUCAAUUUCCUUUGGUAGCAGCGAAAAAAACAAAUUCUGCAUGAAUAGUGGUCUUUCAGUGUUUGACACUAUUCAUUGUAAUUUUCUCUUUUUAAUUCCUUUCAAAUGUUUUUGAUUUUGAACUUGAAAUUUUGCAGGUUUGUAGAACAUCGCACUCCCAACAUAUGGUAUUUUUGUAGAAUUUUUUUGAAACUUUUAAACAUGAUUUUUUAUGAAGUUUGCAUGGUUUGCACCGAGUGAGGGUUUUCACCGGAUACUUCGCCUUUUUAGAAAAUCACGAUCAUAUGAAAAUGCUUUUGAAGAUGAAUCCAACAAAACCAAUUUUUGAAGCACAACCUGCAUAUUGUAGAUUAUUUUUUCAUGAAAGCUUGAAUGUGCGAAGUCAAAUAUGAGCCACACCAAGAAACAGAGGGAAUACUUCAUAGGUGCCUACUUCAUAUGUUGUAUUCACAGUUGUUCAGAGUUCAAACUUUUAUGAACUGCUAGCAUUGCAUUCUUUGGUACAACCGGACAUUACUACACAUAUUAUAAGCUGCUGGUAUUGCAUACUAGUACAAUUGAGCAUUACUAUACAUAUUUUAUGAUAUAAGACCAUGGAUGCUGCUAAUUUUGUGUCUUCUUUAACUUCAAGUAUUCAUAGCAAAAACUGUUACAACUUACAAGAAGCAUGAAAUCUGAGUUCCAAGCUUCCAGCCAAUUCACAUUUUGGAAAUGACAAAUUUCUAUCACACAGGUCAAGAUUUUCUCUGCCACAAAUGUCCGGCAAGAGCUUCAAGAAUCAAUGAGAGACUACAUCCGAGCAUCUGUUGGUAUCAAUGACAAAGGAAAGCUCGUAGUCCCAACGUUAUUGCAGAGCUACGCCAAGGGCACUGUGGUGGACUCUCUGCUUGCCGACUGGAUAUGCCGUCAGCUGACACCGGACCAGGUCGCAGCAAUCCAAGACACCACGUCAUCACGGAAGCAGCGGCUUCUCGGAGUGCGCAGCUUUAGCGUCAUCCCAUUCGACUCAAAAUUCCGGUACCUUUUCUUGCCUGACAAACAUUAGGUAGAUCCCAGACCUGAAGAGAAACCAGGAGUGGGCAUUUUGACACACUGGGAAAUGGAAAUAUUAGUUGUACAUUUUGUAGGUAAACGAUUAUUUUUUCCUCUGUAAAGUCCGUUAGUCUAUUUGUAUCUUUUGUACUAAAAGGGAUUGUGUGUAAGGGGUUGGCCUCCUUUUAGCAUAGCUUGUAACGUCACGAUGAUGUGGCCAUAAAAACAGUUUUGUUUCUGGAUGUCUGCGGUCUAGUCCAUUCGAUUCUAAAUUGUUGUCGAAAUAUUACAUGUAUCUAGACGCUUUUUAACAAUAGAUAUAUUUAUAUUUGGGCAAAUUUGAAUCAAGAAUUUAGAAUCAGUAGCUUGUAGCAGUUCUGGGUGUCAGGGUUUAAGGUACUCCGCAGUACUGUAGAAAUGUUGCUGUUAUCUUUCCGAAAUAAUAACAAUUAGUCAAUUACCAUCAGCAGUAAAACGAGCUGCCAGUUUGAAAGAUAUUUUUUUCCUUUUCGAAAAGGGAAAACGAUCUCAGGCCUCUGCAUCAUGCAUACAGUCAUAUAAAGUUUGAAAGAUACUAUAAUCAUGUUGAAGGUCAAAGCUGUCCCGCCCUGCAAGGCAAGACUAUCUUUGCCUCCACUUGGGCUUUGGCCACCGCCAGUUCUUUGCCUCCAGUUCUCACGGCAACAUUCCCGGCCAGACAUUCAGAGCCUGCACACUGUAAGAAUAGCUCUCGAUGCUGGACUUCCUCCCCGACGUCGAGCAAGCCAAGCUGGAGACACAGUGUCGACGUCCUGACUGAUGACUGAAUUGCACAUGGAUCACCUGUCUCCCUGCCUUCUAAUUCUGAAGGCAUCCAAAGAUGCACCGCCCGUCGCUUGGUGCCUCGCAGGCUGCUGCUCGUCAAACUGGCCUGCAACUCCCAAACCUGCCAGUGGAGCUCCUCCGACACUAACUUUUCAAUUAAAGUUUCAUUCCGAACUUGCUCCAAUUAUUUUAAAACUUUCGUUAAAAUACUAAUGUUUCAAUUGGUAUUCCUAUGUGAUUGAAAUUGUAUAAGAAAAUUUCAUUAAGACAUCGAUGUUUCAGUCCAAUCCUUACGACACUAAUGUUUCAAUGAAAUUUUUAUUUCGAACUUGUUCCAAUUUUUCUGAAACUUUCCUCGAAACACUAAUGUUUCAAACGACAUUCCUAUGUAAUUGGAAUUUAUAAGAAAGUUUCAUUGAGACACCAUUUCUAUCGGCAUUCUUAUCUGAUUGAAAUUGUAUAGGAAAGUUUCAUUGAGACACCAAUUUUUCUAUCGGCAAUCCUUGCAACACUACUGUUUCAACAAAAGUUUCAUUUUGAAUUUGCUCCAAAUUUUUCAAAACUUUUUCUGUAGGUCAGAAACACCAUGUUAAACAAAACAUCAAAUUUUCAUCAAAUUCUGAGUCCGUUUGGACCACCAAAUGAUUUGUACAACUAUCAAAACAUGUUAGUGCAGUACUAGUAUCGGUGGAGAUCGGUCGAGAUUUUGAAUUUGCUCGAAACUUUUUGAAACUUUUUAUGUAGGUGGGAAACACCAUCUUAGACAAACCCUUAAAAUUUCACCAAAUUCUGGGUUCCUUUGGAUCCUCAAAAAAAUUGUACAAAAAUCAAAAUAUGUUAGUGUAUCAUUGCCUUCCCCAACUAGCACCACGUGAGGUCAUUGCAAACCUGGCCACCUGCCGCCGGACCCACUUCUGGAUAUGAAAAAAAAAAUCCACGAGCAAACCGACGGUCGAUUUGACUCCAGUACGGGCUCGGUAAAUUAGAAUUUCCGCUCAGAUGGGGAGCUGGGGACUGCAUUCUCGGAAUCAGAAACUUAAGCUGGAAGCAUUACCGUUCAGAGUUCAGACACGUAGAAUUCGGCAUUGCCUUGCCAUCAUGGAGCAGCUAGCUUGGUACGCCUUUCCGGCCUCGGUGCCGUGGAGUUGUGAACGUCCGCAUGCGCGCUCUCGGGCGCAGCGUCGUGGGGGAAGGCCCUGGUUCACACUUCUCUCCGCAAGGUACAGAGGCGGCACCGCGUUGCCCGAUGGCUCGCCCGCGUGGCGAUUGGCGAGGUCUCGCCAGGACGAUGGAGUCGGUGCCCCGCGUGUGCGUCUCCGUCCCCGGCGCCGGCGGCGCGCGCUGCGCGACCUGUGCGAUCGUUCGUGCCGUCGUGCGGCGGCGAGAGGGAACGAGCUAGGGCCGAAGGGGGGGAUGUUUUGUUUACGGAAGGUGGGCCGUGCGAAUUUGGGUUGCCAACCUCACGGCCCAGGAACAGCCCGGUUUUGAACUACCAAGCCUGGCCUGGCCUGGUAUCCGUCCCUCACUCUUUCGGAUCGCGGGACGGGAAGAAAGUACUCCGUACUUAUGGAGGCCGCCCUACCCUCUAAAAGAAAAAAUGCACGAAGCAACACAUCCUCUGAGGCUUGAGACCACUAUCCUCCACUGGAAUCGGCCUUAACUAUAACUUGUAAUUAGCAGCACUAACAACAUCAAAUGCUAAUGUCGGUCAAGAGGUUAAAGAGUGUUCAUAUCCAGCUUGGACCUAAAAUGACAGUGAGGAAACAGCAAUGAAAACGGUAUGUAUAUACUCCCUCCGUCUAGAGUUAACUGACGUGAAUUUGUAUAGAUUUUUAUACAAACACACGUUAGUAGAAAAGAUUAUGGUAAAACAUGGCACAGAUACGUUAAAAACUGACGGCACGAAAAGUUAAAGUCAAAGCUCGGCACCGUCCAAAAAUCACAUAAAGCCAUGUGCGCAAGCUCCAUUUACGAAAUCAAUUCUGUACAGCUUUCGAACGUCGUGGGAGACGAUGGCAUCGUUAAUUCUUCUUAUCCAUCGCAUUCUUUCAUUUUUUGUUUUGAGGAACACUUUCAAUUUAUAUAGUGUAUGUUCUUCUUCACGAAGUUUGAGUACGAGUAGUGCCGAGUUGUACAUCGUCUGGCCGCCGGCGGUGUCCCAUCCCCAAGUGUCUCGUGUGGUUUCUUAACAAAUGAAACAACCAUCCGUACAUACGGAAAACAAAUGCAAGGCUUCCCAUCUCGACAUGUAAGCGGGUGACAUCGACUAACUCCAGCAGCAUCUCUACACUGCUAACCAUAAUAACCUACUCGCGCUCCCUAAACAAAUCGCAACUUGGGGUCUUAAACUAGGUAAACCGUCCCUUCCGUGCCCAAUCAGGCGCCCCCGGAAACUAGAAAAAGCCAGAUCGCCAAAAGUCAGACCUGACCCAUCCCCAGAGGCCAGAGCUCACCGCGACGACUCGCAAAGCACUACGUCUUCCUGCCGCUGACUUUGCACAAGCGCACAUCGGAUCGGAGGAUAACCUAUACACCGAAGGGAUUAAACUCGAUUUCUGUUUCUCUGAUCGGCGCAUGCGCCAAUGGAUGCUUCCCCUUCCUGUCUCCUCCUCUUCCCACUCGCUGACCUGAGAAGAAGAAGAAGAAGCAUGCCAAGCCAACGCCGGCCACGAUGCAGCUGAGUCUUCUUCGUCGUCGUCGUUGUUGCCGCCGGUUUGUCAUUUCAUCGGGAGCGUGCGUGUUGUUGCUGUUCCUGUUGGCCUCGCUCUGCGGCUGCGCCGGCGCGUGCGUUGACGAAGGGGAGAGGGCGGCGCUUCUGUCCUUCCUCGCCGACCUCUCGCCGCGCCCCGGCGACGGCAUCUUCUCGUCCUGGCAGGGCGGGUCGCCGGACUGCUGCUCCUGGGAGGGCCUCGCCUGCGACGGCGGCGCCGUCACGCGCGUCUCGCUCCCCGGCCGCGGGCUCGGCGGGAAGAUCUCGCCAUCGUUGGCGAACCUCACGGCGCUCACGCACCUCAACCUCUCGGGCAACAGCCUCGCCGGCCCGUUCCCCUUGGCGCUGCUCUCCCUGCCCAAUGCCGCCGUCAUCGACGUCAGCUACAACCGCCUCUCCGGCUCCCUCCCAGACGUCCCAACCGCCGCCGGCCUCCGGCUAUUACAGGUGCUGGACGUCUCGAGCAACCAUUUAUCCGGCCCGUUCCCGUCCGCUGUCUGGCGGCUCACGCCGAGCCUCGUGUCGCUCAAUGCCAGCAACAACAGCUUCGGCGGCCCGGUCCCGGUCCCGUCCCUGUGCGCGAUCUGCCCGGAGCUCGCCGUUCUUGAUUUCUCCUUGAACGCGUUUGGCGGGGCCAUCUCCCCCGGGUUCGGGAACUGCUCGCAGCUCCGGGUCCUCAGCGCCGGCCGCAACAACCUCACCGGAGAGCUACCAGACGACCUCUUCGACGUGAAGCCGCUGCAGCAGCUGUCGCUCCCCUCGAACCAGAUACAAGGGAGGCUCGACCGCCUGCGGAUCGCGGAGCUGACAAACCUCGUGAAGCUCGAUCUCACCUACAAUGCGCUCACCGGGGAGCUGCCGGAGUCAAUCGGCGAGCUCACAAGGCUGGAGGAGCUCCGGCUCGGCAAGAACAACCUGACAGGCACGAUCCCGCCGGCGCUCAGCAACUGGACGGGUCUCCGGUACCUGGACCUUCGGUCGAACAGCUUCGUGGGGGACCUCGGUGCCAUGGACUUCUCCGGCCUCGCGGACCUCGCCGUCUUCGACGUGGCCUCCAACAACUUCACCGGCACCAUGCCGCCCAGCAUCUACUCCUGCACGGCCAUGACGGCGCUGCGCGUGGCCGGCAACGAGCUCAGCGGGCAGCUCGCGCCGGAGAUCGGCAACCUGCGGCAGCUCCAGUUCCUCUCGUUGACCGUUAACGCCUUCACCAACAUCAGCGGCCUGUUCUGGAACCUCCGGGGCUGCAAGGACCUCGCGGCGCUGCUCGUGUCCUACAACUUCUACGGCGAGGCCAUGCCGGACGCCGGCUGGGUCGGCGACCACCUCAGCAGCGUGCGGCUCAUGGUGGUGGAGAACUGCGACCUUUCGGGCCAGAUACCGCCGUGGCUGCCGAAGCUGCAGGACCUCAACGUCCUGAACCUCGCCGGGAACCGGCUCACCGGCCCGAUCCCGAGCUGGCUCGGCGGCAUGAAGAAGCUCUACUACAUCGACCUGUCCGACAACCACCUGUCAGGGGAGAUACCACCGUCGCUGAUGGAGCUGCCGCUGCUGACGUCAGAGCAAGCCAUCGCGGAUUUCAACCCGGGCCAUCUUCCGCUCGUGUUCACCUUGACGCCCAACAACGGGGCGGAGAUCAGGCGCGGCCGCGGGUACUACCAGAUGUCCGGCGUCGCCGCCACGCUCAACCUCAGCGACAACUACUUCUCCGGCGCGAUCCCGGCAGAGGUUGCGCAGCUGAAGACGCUCCAGGUGCUCGACCUCAGCCACAACAACCUCUCGGGCGGCAUCACGCCGGAGCUCAGCGGCCUCACGAAGCUCGAGAUCCUCGACCUGCGCCGGAACAGUCUCACGGGCCCGAUCCCCCAAUCGCUCAACAAGCUCCAUUUCCUGUCCAGCUUCAACGUCGCGCACAACGAUUUCGAGGGCCCGAUCCCGACGGGCGGGCAGUUCAACGCGUUCCCGCCGUCGAGCUUUGCGGCGAACCCGAAGCUCUGCGGCCCGGCGAUCUCGGUCCGCUGCGGCAAGAAAAGCGCGACAGAGACAGGCAACAAGCUUUCCUCAUCGAGGAGGACCAUCGGCAAAAGGGCACUCGUCGCCAUCGUUCUCGGAGUCUGCUUCGGGGUGAUCGCGCUCGUCGUCCUGCUCGGGCUCGCCGUGAUCGGCAUCAGGAGGGUCAUGUCGAACGGAUCCGUCAGCGACGGCGGGAAAUGCGCGGAGGCGUCCCUGUUCGCCGACUCCAUGUCGGAGCUGCACGGCGAGGACUCCAAGGACACGAUCCUGUUCAUGUCGGAGGAAGCCGGGACGGCGGCGCAGAGCAUCACGUUCACGGACAUCAUGAAGGCGACCAACAACUUCAGCCCGUCGAGGAUCAUCGGGACGGGCGGCUACGGGCUGGUGUUCCUAGCCGAGAUGGAGGGCGGCGCGAGACUCGCCGUGAAGAAGCUCAACGGGGACAUGUGCCUGGUGGAGCGCGAGUUCCGGGCGGAGGUGGAGGCUCUCUCUCUGACGCGGCACGAGAACCUGGUGCCGCUGCAGGGGUUCUGCAUCCGCGGCAGGCUUCGGCUGCUGCUGUACCCGUACAUGGCCAACGGCAGCCUCCACGACCGGCUCCACGACGACCACGACAGCGGCAGCAUCAUGGACUGGGCGGCGAGGCUGAGGAUCGCGCGCGGGGCGAGCCGGGGCCUGCUGCACAUCCACGAGCGGUGCACGCCGCAGAUCGUGCACCGGGACAUCAAGUCCAGCAACAUCCUCCUGGACGAGCGAUGGCAGGCCCGGGUGGCGGACUUCGGGCUGGCCAGGCUCAUCUCGCCGGACAGGACGCACGUGACGACGGAGCUGGUGGGGACUCUCGGGUACAUCCCGCCGGAGUACGGGCAGGCGUGGGUGGCCACGCUCCGGGGCGACGUGUACAGCUUCGGCGUCGUGCUGCUGGAGCUGCUCACGGGGAGGCGGCCCGUGGAGGUCGGCCGGCAGAGCGGGGACCUGGUCGGCUGGGUGACGCGGAUGAGGGCGGAGGGGAAGCAGGCGGAGGCGCUGGACCCGAGGCUCAAGGGAGACGAAGCGCAGAUGUUGUACGUGCUCGACCUUGCUUGUCUCUGCGUCGACGCCAUGCCCUUCAGCCGGCCGGCCAUCCAGGAGGUGGUCAGCUGGCUCGACAACGUCGACACCGUCAGCACCACAUCAGCCUCACCCGCAUCCGUGAAACGGUGAAAAAACUGGAAAUGGAGCGCUCUGGCCCUGCAGGUCGCGAUCUUGAGUGUUUUGGGCUUGCAAUGGGGGUGAUCGAGGAGAUGAAAUCAGAAAUUAAUUGCGAUGCACUUUGACUCUUAAGCAUGGAUUCAUCUUCAGAGAGGCGUCAGACGUCUGAUGAUGGAUAAUCACAGACUUUUCGCAGAGCCUGAAAGACGUGGGGGAACACUCAGUCGAGAGAGCAUUUUUUUUUCAUGGGGGUGAUGGAUCGGUUGGGAUUGCUUUGUGAGUUCCUAGGAUUUAAUAAAGCAAAACUAUCUGAGCUGAUUUCCAAAGAUUUUGGAUCCAAAAACGACCGGAUAAGCCCUUGAUUGGUGUACAGCAUGUCAUUUCUAUCACAGCGCCAGAGGAACCUUGGUCUGUACGUACUUAGCUUCCCGCAGGGCAGUUGAGGAAGAAAUUAUUUGUUCAAAGAAUAUGGUUUCAGAUUAGUACUCCGUAUUACGUUUGGCAGCAGUACUCUUUUUUUUUGGACGAGCAGUACUGGUUUUCAGUAGACUACUCGGCGUUUGACAGUUUGAGCACUGAAAUUGAAGUGUUCUGUUUUUUUCUUUGGAGAGAGGUUACUGAAACUGAAGUUUUUUUUUUUGAGGGGGACUGAAACUGAAGUUAAGAAACGAAACAGUGCAACUUACUGUUCUCGGCCCGUCAGAGACACGGAAAACUGGGCCUGUUUUACCUGGGCCGGGCCAAGUGUCCUUUUUCAGUCUUGCACACAUAUGUACUGCUUGCCCAUAGCCCACAGGCCUACGGCUGCAUUGUUCUAACUAGGUUUUCUACUCUCUUUUUUGAAGACUUUCUCCGUCGAAUUUUGUUUUCUUAGAUGUUACUAGUGCAAGCAGUAACCUAUCCUAGUGUAUUUCGAUGAUAGUUGAUACAAUUCAAAAAAUUAACCGGAAGGCAAUGCAAUACUAGUUUCUGAACCAUCCAACUUAUACUUCAUCUGCUAAAUUCAACGAAAGAACUACCAUGAAACAAGUACCAACAUGGAGGAAAAAAAAAGAGCUUGCCAUGGCCAGCCAUCUCCCAUCCGACUAGCUACACAUCUAACUUAACUUACACAAGAAAUAUCUAUAAAAUGCAAAAAAAGAAAAACUAGCACUACAAAAUUGAAAAGGUUUUUACACACAGAUGCGACGACCCUAAGCUGGAUCUCCGUUGUACGUCGUGUCUUCCUUCUGAUCCUUUGUACCCUUGCCACUUCGGCCCCGGCCGGUCACGUGACCGUGCAGUCCGUUUCCUGAGAUUAACAAGACACCACAUGCAGAAAAUCAGCCGAUGGAAGCCAGGCUAUAAGGGUAAUAAUCUGUCUUAGAAAAAGUUUUAACUAGUACAUUCAGAUCACACAAAUUAAUGAGCUGGAAGAGGGCGCGGGCAUGAAGGUUACCUCGAUUUUAUCGGUUAUGGACGGGAUUAAAGCCGGAAUGGGGUAUCCUCCGGCGGCCGAAGCUGGCGGCGACGUUGUCGAAGUGCUUCUUCUCGCCGCCGACCCGCAUCUGCUGCCGCUCGGCCCUGAGCCGACUCGACGCGUACGUCGCCGGCGGAGACACCAGCAUCCGCCGUGCCCCGCGCGGCCUGAUGACACUCGCGUCACCCAGCUCCGCGGACGCCGAGGAAGUCGACAGAAGUAGCAGCAACAUCAGUAGAAUGAGUGGCAGCGGUGCCACCGGACAACCAUUCCUGGGAGAAGAGCUCAUCUCGGUUCCCGUGUGCGGUUUGGCUUGGUUUGUUCUUCUGGGACAGUGUGCAGACUGCAGCGAGGAAGGAAAGAAGAAGGGUGGUGGGUGGAUGGGGCGUGGGGAUCGGAGCAAAGAUCGAGGAGAGGUGGUGGGAGUUAACGUGGGCUUUGCCGAGGGUUUUAUUUCCAGUGGCAGCUACUAGUAGCGACUAGCAGGUGUAGCAAGCGGCGGUCCUAAGCGGGUCGGAUCCCGGAGGCGCGCGGGAACCGAGUCCGAAGGUGUUGCUUCCGUGAUUCAAAUUCAGUACGUGAGAUCUUGCUGCACUGUUUUCUUGCAACGGCAAGGCACCUGUAAUUAAGUUGCAGCCUUCAUCAGUAAAGUACGAUAAAUCAGCAAAUGCAAAGUUUUUUCAGCUGCUAGCGCCACCGGAACUUGAAAUGUAAACGGAUUUGGAUGCUGAUGAUCUGAACCCGAACUGGCCGGUAUGCGCUGCAACUAACCAAGAUGUUGUUGUUAAUCAGCGCGUCAGAGCAGUGGGAAUUCAUGUGCCGAUGAAUUAUCUAAUCCGCCUUCCCACAGGGAGAAGUCAGGGGUGUCAUGUGCUGCAGCUUUGACUGUACUGGAUCGAUCAAACACUUUUGGCUCUGGACCGUGAGUGACCAGUGCUGGUGUAUUCUUUUCUUUCUGAACUUCACACUGACGACUGAUGAUAAUACUAGUGUUAGUUGGUUCCAAGGACUAAACCUGCCCUGUUUUCUUUAACCUGCGAUCGCGAUCUUUUUGCCGGGAUCACGUGAUGGAACCACGUGAACGCGUGGACCGAAGACAUGGCUGGUGGCAGUCUAGGUGCUGCUGGCUGUUUACUUUUACCGAUCGAACUUUCUGCUCCUCAGGCAACAGGAAUAUGAGACUGUUGAUGUUUUCUUCUGAACAUUGACGAAGUAGCAGAGAAUGCUUCUGCUGCAGUGAUGUACACGGGGAUCCGAGCCGGCCGUCUCGGGGAAGUAAAUGUAAUUGACACUUGCGGCGGACGCGCUUAGUUCAAACUUUAAGCAAGGGAAUUUCGCAAUCUGGGCAAAUGAUUGACGGUGAUGGGGCUAAGUAAUUUAAUGACGCAUUCUGUUUCUGCAAAGACAACAACAACACCCGCGUCCUCUUCGUUCCAGGUACUGAACUACUCCCGCUGUUUACUGCUCUAGCUACGCAUUCGUAUAUCAAUAGUCAAAAAUCCGCCAGCAAGAUUGAUCGCGUGGAGGACGAAAAGCGCCAAAAAUGCAUAGCCUUUUGCACGAACUCCCGGCUCAUCAACAGCUGUUGGCGCGCGUGGAUGCAAGAUGCAAGGGCUCGAUCGGUACGGCUGCGUGCCUUCGCCCCCCGGGGACACAUGACUCCUGCCGGAGAGGGAGCCUCUUUAACCCUUCUGGAGAACGGAUAGGGACGAUGAUCCUAUCAGCGAUCUGCACUUAGGCAUGCAUAAUGAGCUGUCUGAUUGUUCUUUAUGCUGCAGAGAGUACAAUACUGGUAGCACAACGGGCCGGGGUCUCUAGCAUAACUGCGCGGCAUAUGAUCGAUGCGCCGCACAGAUCCCGAUGGAGAGGGUCGUGCGACCGCGAAGAUGAAUCAAGGAGGGAUGUUUGUUUAUUUAAUAACUACUGACGGCCCAGGAAUCCAAGGAAAGGAACACAUGUAGAAGUAAUAUGUAAAUUACAAAGUGUCUCUAUUUGUAUGGUUAAUCUCGGUGCGAGCAGAGUCGUAAAGAAUUUACAUCCUGCGGUAGCUCAGUGGGGCUGCAUCUUCUCGUAGAGGAGAACAUUCGCCCGUCAGUAUGAACGGUUUAUCGGGGAGGUAAGUUCUGUAUUGUGUUUUUAAAAAAGGAGCUUUGCUCUGCGCUGGAGCUGGAGUCUGCAGUGCUGCCACUUCAGAACGUAUCGACAACCUACGCAAAGUGCCAGGACGGACGGAGACGGAGUAAAGAAAAAAGGCCGAAUUUACCAACGGGCCUCAACGGCCCAAUAUUGACGCCCUUGUCACCAACGCCUAGCCAACCCCACCCACGGAACUGGGCCGGCCUAUCCACCAACUCGCCUCGCGCGCACGAUGUGAGCGUUUCGGGACUAGUUGAGCGGUCGUCGUCGGAAUUUUUUCCCGUGAAGGGGAAGCCGGAGGCCCGUGGGUGUUAGUCCGUCGAUGGACUAGGAGCCCAGCGUGACGACGGGAGCAGCAGGAGGCACAACAAGAAACGAACGCGAGCAGCACGAACAGCCAGAAUCCCGGGAAACCCGACGCACAGAGAAACCCAAAAACGACGCAGAAACGUCGGCAACACGCUUAGAAACGACACAGGCGCGCAGCAGAAACGAACGGUCCCGGGGAGGGAGCGCCCCCCGGGUGCACGGCAAAGCGAAAAAGCACGGGAAGAGGGGGGGCGACGACGCUGACAGGGUACACUCCAAAAAACAUGCAUCGUUGAGAAAACGCAAAUUAUACGGGAGAAAUCGUUCCCUUCGGAUUGAGAGUUAUUACAAGAGCCCAGACUUAUUUGACCGACCCAGUAAAAAGACCAGGCUCCUUGCUGUCUUGUCAGGCUUUCACAAGAUCUUUGAGACCGGCAAUGAAAUCAUCAACGAACCUCUUCUGCACGGCGGCGUCCAUCAAGAACUCGACCCACUUCUUCCCCUCCCCGCACCCCACGUCCGUCUCAGCCUCCGCCACCGCCGCGGCCACGUCCUCGGCCCCGAACCACCCGUCGAGGCCACGCCGCGCGACCUCCACCCCGACGCGGAGCUCCCUGGCGGCGAGCGCGGCGUUCAGGUACUGGUCGCCCUUCAUCGGCAGCAGCACGAGCCGGCAUCCGGCCACGAGCCCCUCCACGACGGAGCUCAGCCCGGCAUGGUUGACGAAGCACCCCACGCUGGCGUGCCGCAGGAUGUGCUGCUGCUGCACCCACCCCGUGUGCACCGCGCCUCUCCCCUUCACCCUCUCCUCGAACCCCGGCGGCACGCAUUUCCUCAGCUCCGCCUCUACAUCCGCCCCCCUGGGGAAGUUGAGCACGGCGAGGAACGGCCGCUUGCUGGCCUCUAGCCCGAGGAGGAGCUCCGUGGCCGCGGCGGCCGGGAGGAACGUCUCGCUCCCGAAGGAGGCGAACACGGCGGCGUUGUCCGGGAACGUGCUGAGCCAGGUCGCCCAUGGUUCCUCGAGCUCCCCCUGCGGUGGAUCCGGCACCACGAGGCCCGUGACGAGCACCGGCUUGCCGAACUGGGCGGCCAGGUAGUCGAUGUAGGCGCCUUCCAUCUCGGCGCACGUCUUCACCACGAGCGCGUCGCAGGCUUCGAUGCCGGCCACGACGCGGUCGUACACGCACGGCAUGCCGUGGAAGGCUGUGUACACGUAUUUAAAGCCCGCGGCCUGGUAGGGCGGCACGGUGCCCAGCAGAGCUGAAGACGGCGGGAAGCCUGCGGGGCCUGAGGCGAGCUCGUCGGCCGUGGACGGGAGGGAGCCGUUAACGCGGCGCGCUGGGACCAUCAAGUACGCGCGGACGACGGCCGCGAACACGGAGAAGUGGAGCGCCUUGACGCCCAGAGGCGCGGUGAUGUCGGUGAUCCAUGGCGUGGCGAAGUCGAACAGCACGGCGUCCGGGCGGAGCUCCGCGAGCAGCGCUGCCACCUGCGGCCUGGUGCCGUCGAGGGCGAUCUUGAGCAGCUCGGCGCCGUCCGCGGACACCUCCGCGGUGCUCUCGGCGCCCUCGGGGAGCCCCGCCACGCGCGGGAGCUGCAGCGGCACCACGGCCACCGCGGCCGCGGACGAAAAGCCCAGCAUGGCCUCGACGCGGGGCACGUUCGCCGCGGCCGACAGCAGCGUGACCCGCACCCCGUUAGCCACGAGCUUGCGCGCCAGCUGCACGAACGGGCUGAUGUGGCCGAAGGCGAGGAAGGGGAACAUCAGGACGUGGAUGUCGCCGUCGCCGUCGCCGGCGGCGGAUGCCACUGCGCUGCUCAUCGUGGAUAUAUACUUGGAUGCUGCAAGCGAGUAUCGAGCUUAGUUUGCUUUGUGGUUUGUGUUUAUGAUGAUAACAUGUCUGGGUGGAGGUGUUAUGGCUUUUCGAGCUGUAAGUAAGGACGCUAGCUGAACAUGGAUGGUCCGAGGUUUUAAGGCCUCUCCCAGCGCUCGAUUCUUGUGCAAGCGACGAUACUUAGCCCGCACAGCCACGCGCGCAUUAAUUCCCAUCCAUCUUGUGCGGCUAUUCUUCUCCGACGGAACCUCGCCAACCUUGCUGCGCGCCGGUCUCCUUCGGGCCCCUCCCACUGCUGCACCAAUCCCAGCCGCCCUCCGUCCCAGUCGUUCGUCGUUUUUCCCUUGUCCGUCACCGUACGUUGACGCCGCGUACGGCCGUCGAUGUUCCUGCUCCUCGACCCCUCUUGUCUCCUAACCAACUCUGCUGCCGCAGGGAGCUUCUCUCCUCCACACAUGGUGUGCAUCAGUUCUUGCUGUAGACACUGCUCAAUCUGUGGGAGAUGGCUAGCUCGGGGCUCGCCGUGCACCAUGAACAGGCUGCAGCAAUUCGUACUCUGCCAGCAGCAAAUGGAAAUCCAUUUUUGCCAUUCACAAAUUCUAGCACCGUCCAUGAAGCCAGCUUUUUUAGAUCUAAUAAGUAUAGAGAGAAGGGGGAGGGGAGCUGGGGAGGUGGUUGCGAGAGACAGACAGACGUGGGAGCUGGGAGUGAAGGAAGAGGAUGCAUAAAAGAUCGUAACGAUCAUUUAAUGUAGGUACGGCCAACAAAAACGACGCGUUGCGGAACACUCGUUCGUAGGUGACUUGACGGCUACGGGACGACAGUGAAGGGACGAGCGCUGGGACUGCCCUAAGGAUGUGGACUUGAAUUGUAAUUCUGUGUUGCUGCAGCUUCCACGUGUUCUGUCCAGGUCUCUCUUAAUUAGUCUUUACGGCCAAGACUUAACACCAGUAUAAAGCUAAUUAACACCAGCGUAAGGGGAAGAAAGGGCGUGCGGUGCGUCGUGUCACGUCCGCCAGAUGAACUGUUCUGAUUUGUACUGUAGCGCUCAGUACGUGUGGGUUUGAGCGGUCCGUUUUUGUCAUGUGUACUGUGACGUGUCGCCAGGUGGUAGUGGAUUUGCAGUGUGUCAGAUUAGGACUCAAAACGGACAGAAACUGUAUGCGGUCACGGACACAGUAGGUGUCACCGUUGGGCAUUUGUCUGUUUGGGUCGCAGAAUGAGUCCAGCGGGACGAUCCACUUGGGAAGCAUAUGGCAAGCUACUGAAAUUUAAACUUGCUCAAUUCAUUACUAAAUUUUGAAUACAAUAACCUUAAAAUCCUAAAACCUAAAUCCUAGAGGUGAUUGGUACACAUUUUGAGGACAACAACAUUGCCACUGGAUUUGGGAACCAUAUGGCAAUCCCAAUAAUCAGUGUGGCUCAAUGAGCCUCCUCUCGAAGCGUCAGAGGAGAGCCGGACGCUCCUCAUUUGAGAACCGGAGCAGCGGUUGGAGCCGUGCCACUGCUAGCCACUCCGCAUCUUCAAAUUUCAUGAGAAGUGCAAUAUUUUGAACUUCAAGGUUUUAAAUCCCAAGACCACCAGAACACUUUGGAACGCAAACUCUAUUCCAAGCAAAAAGGCAUUGAGAACCAGAACAUGAAUCCUCCGCAACCCAAAAGAAAGCUUUGCGGACAUUAUCUAUCUUUUCAACCGACUGAUUUGGAAGGCAGAACGAUGCCAUGCAGUAAGUUGGAAGGUUGUCGAGAACAGAAGAAGCUAGAACAAGUCUGCCGCCUUUGGGUAGGAGGGAAGCACUCCAACCAGAUAAGUAUUUGUCACAUUUAUGAACCACGGAUAGCAAGCCAGCGGAAUGAAUUUUUUGCGGAUACAGGGAUAAGCCGAGGCUAGUUUGUGGAAAGGAGAAGAUUUUGGUUUCGAUGAUGUCAGUCAUUUGUUGUGUAAUCGUAUCAUAUGAUCUACGAACAUUGGAAAUGAACGUAGUUUUGUGGUAGUUUAUUUGCUGACCGGUAGCUAGGGAAAAUUGUUGAAGGAUUAUCUUUAGUUCAGGAGCAGCUUCUAGGGAGGCUUGGGUAAGAUUAAAGUGUCGUCAUCAUAUUGUAGGACAGUGCAGGGUAUAAAGGUAAUAAUCAACAAGAGAUUGACCUGCAUAACUCAAAAACACAGUUUCAAAAAAUAAUUAUUCAAAAACAAGCAAUAAAAAUAAACAAUUUCAUAACAUAGUUGAGUUUUGAAACAAGGAAAAUAAAGAAAUAGGGUUAUGCAGAAGCCCACUUCUUAUAUUAGACAGUCAUGCAUGAAACAUUGUCUGACCAGCUGUUCCAAUUGCCCGCACGUCCUUGACUCAUAUUCACAAUGGUGGAAAAAAAUCUUCUUCUUUUUUUGGCUAGAUGGAAAAAAAUUGUUUGACUCGACACCAGACAUUGUAUCUUUUAGGACUUUACUGAUAUCUGGACAGUUGUGAUUAAACUACUCUAUGUUUUCAUUUGCAGAAGAAAGACCGUUUCAAAGUUUACUCUUGGUGUCUUGCACAAUCACUUGGACAGCCAACUGGAAUCUAGGAAAAAUAAAGAGCUUCGUCCAAGGUGUACUGUAUUUUGCUAAUUUGCUUGCUUGAGAAUGGAGAAUAUUAGGUAAGAAUCCAGGUGAGAUCUCUCUAAUCGUGCCAGUUUUUAGACACUUCUACAAUGAGGAUAAAUUUAUGUUCAUAUGAUUGACUCAUAAUUAUCGGAUACUUUCAAAACAUCGUUGAACUCCAAUUCCAAUCGGCCAAUCUAGAUUUCGAUCCGGUUUGUCUUGAGUUCGAUAUCUGAUUCAUGAACCAUGUAACGAACCGAUAGGAGAAAAGCAUUGGCAUCGCUCAUUCAUUUGUCAAGGACAAUUUCCCAGAAUGAAUUUGAUUUUAUUUUCUUAUGCAAAUUAGUAGUUUGGCAAAGAUCCAUGUAUUUCCAUGAUUACGAGACUUAGAUCAGAAGAUUAUGCUGUUGACUUUUCAAUACAUGUGAAUUUUCGCAUAUUAUGUUUGACGUUCAGAGCCCCGUGACAGCGCAUGGUCAUUGUACUAGUUUGUAUCACAUAAGUCGAACGUUGCUAGAGUAAUUCUUGGUCAAAGGCUCGGUCAAAGAAAACAAUAAUUUAAGAAACAAGAGCACUAUUUAACAAUUUCCAUAAGCUUGCUAUCAAAUUUUCAUAAGCUAGUUGCUGAACAUAUGUUAGUUGUUACUGCUAAGUGCAUAUGUUAGUUGUUACUGCUACCGGUCAGCAAACAAGAGCACUAUUUAACUAUUUGGGUGGGUGAAGCCAUAAAGCAUCUGCAUGGUUAACCAUGUGGCACGAGCAAAACCGUAGUGCAAAAAAGGUGUCUGAAUGCAUCAUUUUUCCUUAAAAAAAUACUUCUAAAUGCUUUGCCAUUUUCAUUUAGGUUCAGUACCUAGUACUAGUACGAAGAGGACCAGCCUACUACACUCUACAGUCGAAUUAAAGCGCAUGACUUUGGAUGCUUCAACGAACUAAUCAAUGUGCAACUCUGUCGUACUAAUACGUACCGAUUGAUGCACCAUUUCAUCUGUUCACUCCAGAUUAACCUAUAGCACUCUUCCACGUACGAUGAAUCAGAUUUUUAGAACAAAAAACAUGUUUGCUUAGGGCAUCUCUAAAGGGAGCCUCAUUUCCUCCCCAUUCGCACGUUUGUCCACUUGAGAUAUACGGACAACAACCCAAACCAAUUAUCCUGACCCUUCUCAUUUGUUCAAAUUUGUCAACACUCACCAUUCUAUUUUCAAAUUUGAAGGUGAAACUGCCAAACGGACGGUAGUAUAUAUCUUCACCCCGUAACCUGCUUCUAGCCACAGCAACUCUAUUGGAGGCCAUUGUGCGGGCCACUAUGAGUAGCUGGAGCAGCUGGACUGCUGGAGCCCCACGUUCUCGCUGCCGCCAUGCGUCGACCUGCUCGCGCCAGCGCCGAUCUAAUCCCGCCCUACGGCCAUCUGCGGUCAUCGGUCGUCAACUCGUCGUCCACAACUACGACAGUGCUUUGCAACAACCGACACAAAAUCUCAGAGAGCUCUAAAUUCUGUGAAUUACAAGAGCCAAGACUUAUUUGACAAAAUCUCAGAGAGCUCUAGAUUCUGUGAAUUACAAGAGCCAAGACUUAUUUGACGGCAUUAACAGGCAAUGACCAGGAUCGUUGCUGUCCUGUCAGGCCCUCACAAGAUUUCUGAGACCGACAAUGAAAUCGUCAACAAACCUCCUCUGCACGGCGCCGUCCAUCAAGAACUCCACCCACUUCUUCCCCUCCCGGCACCCUCCGUCCGCCUCCGCCUCCGCCACCGCCGCGGCCACGUCGUCGCGCCCGAACCACCCGUCCUCGGCACGCCGCGCGACCUCCACCCCGACGCGGAGCUCCCUGGCGGCGAGCGCGGCAUUGAGGUACUGGUCGCCCUUCAUCGGCAGCAGCACGAGCCGGCAUCCCGCCACGAGCCCCUCCACGACGGAGCUCAGCCCGGCAUGGUUGACGAAGCACCCCACGCUGGCGUGCCGCAGGAUGUGCUGCUGCUGCACCCACCCCGUGUGCACCGCGCCUCUCCCCUUCACCCUCUCCUCGAACCCCGGCGGCACGCAUUUCCUCAGCUCCGCCUCUACAUCCGCCCCCCUGGGGAAGUUGAGCACGGCGAGGAACGGCCGCUUGCUGGCCUCUAGCCCGAGGAGGAGCUCCGUGGCCGCGGCGGCCGGGAGGAACGUCUCGCUCCCGAAGGAGGCGAACACGGCGGCGUUGUCCGGGAACGUGCUGAGCCAGGUCGCCCAUGGUUCCUCGAGCUCCCCCUGCGGUGGAUCCGGCACCACGAGGCCCGUGACGAGCACCGGCUUGCCGAACUGGGCGGCCAGGUAGUCGAUGUAGGCGCCUUCCAUCUCGGCGCACGUCUUCACCACGAGCGCGUCGCAGGCUUCGAUGCCGGCCACGACGCGGUCGUACACGCACGGCAU